rnacentral:lncRNA from 1 species
GACGUAGUCGAACGGAUCCUCACAUUCUGACACACUUGCAAAACUCUAUCGAGACGGAGGAAACCGGAAACAAGCAUCUACACAUGAUAUUCACCCUGGCACAUGCACAAUAUGAUGCAUAACCUAGUAUGAUGCAUGACCAGUUUUAAAUAUGCAAGGCAUGGCACGACAAUUCACAUCAUGCAAACACUACACAUUAAGUGAAGCUCGAGAUGAAACAAGUUGCAUAUCAACGAAACUCCAUGUUUAAUUAUUUAGUUCACUCCCGUUUAGGUACACGGCAAUAUUAAAUGUUGUUAAAUAUGGAAAAGGGUGAAGCAUAAAUUAUCUACUUAUCUAGGCAUUUUAAAUGAGAUCGGAAACGACAUAUAGCAUCUCUAAGACGACCCCAUGCGUUAAACUCUAAAUCUGUCCAGAUUUGUCCUAAUCACAUUUUAUGUUUGUUUAACAGAAAAACAAAUUGGUUCACAUGAUUCUACUCGUUGUUCCGGUCCAUUUACAUAUAUGGCACAUCUCCAAUGGAGCUACGGUUAAAUAAUUAUGACCUAAACCGUUUGCAACACGGCAGGACACACAAAACAAGGUAAACAACAAGUUUAACACUUGUAAUCAUGCAUGAGAGUUGGAAAAUAUUAAUCUAUGCGAGAUUCUAGUCAAGUUACAUAUUUAACUCGUCGGAAUCCGACGCACGGAAUAAAAGUAAGGUGCCUUUGAAAAUUACUCAUUUUUCUGAAAUUAAUAAAUUCGCUGGAGAAAUAAAAAAACUCCGUGCCGAAUCUAGAUCUGGCCCAAGACACGGCAUGGCGACACUUAACUAAAAGGCGUCUGAGCAGGAUUUAGCGGGGCGACUCACCUCGGGCCUCACGGCCCACUCGGCGGAGGAGCUGAGGCAUGCCGAGGCUGGUCGAGCUGGGCCGGGGGAGGAGCUGCUCGUGCCGGCCCGACCGGAGGCAGGUGGAGGACGACGGCUGGGCCUGGGGCGUGACCCAGCAAGCGAGGCACGCACGGCUUCAUGCUUGUCCCGCACGAGCAGUGCACCGGUGGCUGCCGACGGGGGUGAUGUCCGAUGGACCUCCCGCGAGGGAUGCGGCAAGGACGGUUCCCCCGAGACGGAUCUGGGGCGGGGCUGCCCGGAUCCAGCCGUUCCCGGCGGUCUUGAGGCGAGGCGGCUGAUGGGGAACGUUGCAUGGGAAACAAAAAUUUUCCUACGCAUACGAAGACCUAUCAUGGUGGUGUCCAUCUACAAGUGGCGGUUAGAUCUACGUACCCUUGUACAUUGCUCAGCGGGAAGCGUUAAGAAACGUGGUUGAUGUAAUGGAACGUCUUCACGUCCCUCGAACUGUCCCACGAACCGCCCCACAAUCCGUCCCACGAUCCGUUCCGAUCUAGCGCCGAACGGACGGCACCUCCGUGUUCAGCACACGUACAACUCGAUAAUGAUCUCGACCUUCUUGAUCUAGCAAGGAAGACGGAGAGGUAGAUGAGUUCUCCGGCAGCGUGACGGUGCUCCGAUGGUGGUGAUGAUCUACUCCUGUAGGGCUCCCCCCCGAGCUCCGCAGAAAUCCGAUCUGGAGGUAAAACUAUGUGGAAUAGGCUAGAGUUGCACGUGGCAACGUUGUGUCUCAAAAAGCCAUAAACCACCACUAUAUAUAGGAGGAAGGGGGAGGGGCUAGCCUUGAGGCACAAGGCCUCAAGGUGCGCCGGCCGCCAGGAGGAGGAGGAUUGCUCCUCCAAUUCGGUUUGGGAAGGAGGAGUCCUCCUCUUCCUUCCCACCUCCCUCUUUCCUUUUUUCUUCUUCUUUUCUUUUGGUAUUUUCUUAUGUGGCGCCAUAGCCCUCUUGGGCUGACUCCACCAGACCAAUAAGGACUUGGUGCGCCACCCUAGGGCCUUGGGCUCAUUCCCGGGUGGGUGGGCCCCUCCCGGUAAACACCCGGAACCCAUUCGUCACUCUCGGUACACUACCGGAAUUGCCCGAAACUUUCCGGUGACCAAAUGAAACCAUCCUAUAUAUGAAUCUUCGUUUCCAGACCAUUCCGGAAACCCUCGUGACGUCCGUGAUCUCAUCCGGGACUCCUAACAACAUUCGGUAACCACACAUAUAACUCAACUAUACUAGAACAUCACCGAACCUUAAGUGUGCAGACCCUGCGGGUUCGAGAACUAUGUAGACAUGACCCGAGGCACUCCUCGGUCAAUAUCCAAUAGAGGGACUUGGAUGCCCAUAUUGGAUCCUAUAUAUUCUCCGAAGAUCUUAUAGGUUGAACCUCAGUGUCAAGGAUUCAUAUAAUCCCGUAUGUCAUUCCCUUUGUCCUUCGGUAUGUUACUUGCCCGAGAUUUGAUCGUCGGUAUCCGCAUACCUACUUCAAUCUCGCUACCGGCAAGUCUAUUUACUCGUUCCGUAAUACAAGAUACCAUGACUUACACUUAGCCACAUUGCUUGCAAGGCUUGUGUGUGAUGUUGUAUUACCGAGUGGGCUCCGAGAUACCUCUCCAUCACACGGAGUGACAAAUCCCAGUCUUGAUCCAUACUAACUCAACGGACACCUUCGGAGAUACCUGUAGAGCACCUUUAUAGUCACCCAGUUACGUUGCGACGUUUGAUGCACACAAGGUAUUCCUCCGGUGCCAGUGAGUUAUAUAAUCUCAUGGUCAUAGGAAUAAAUACUUGACACGUAGAAAACAAUAGCAAUAAAAUGACAAGAUCAACAUGCUACGUUCAUAGUUUGGGUCUAGUCCGUCACAUGAUUCUCCUAAUGAUGUGAUCCAGUUAUCAAGCAACAACACUUGCACAUAGUCAGAAAACUUUGACUAUCCUUGAUCAACUGGCUAGCUAACUAGAGGCUUGCUAGGGACAUUGUUUUGUCUAUGUAUCCACACAUGUAUCUAUGAUUUCAUUCAAUAUAAUUAUAGCAUGGAUAAUAAACGAUUAUCUUUGUAACAGGAAAUAUAAUAAUAACUAUUUAUCAUUGCCUCUACGACAUAUUUCCAAUAGCGGCGACCUUGGCUAUGGGAGGAUUCGGGGCGGUGGAGUACUCGCGGGUGGCUGCGCUGCUGGCCGACAGCGGACGCGCAACGGGGUGACCGGAGGGCGUAGUGCGGGGCGCCGGCUAGAGUCAAUAAUCUAGUCCUCACAUCGCCAUGCGAUCUACGUUGUAAUAAAUCUAAUACCCAUACAGUUCUGGUGUUGAUCAUUGUCGUGGGUAUAAGUCUGACAGUAGAAGUAUGGGGUACGAAAGUAUAUGGGCAGAGCCUUAGCUACGGCGAGGAUGCAUGAGUUCAGGCCCCUCUACGGUGAAGGUAAAAGCCCUACGUCUCAGUGCUCUUGGGAGCUUUGUGUCGAGUGUAUUGUGGGAUUACAACAAGUGCCAACCCCUGUACCAGUGGUGAAGGGCGGCUUAUAUAGAGUGUGUUGCCCUUCAUAAUGGCCCGAUGGACAGGAGUGGAGUAGUGGCGAGUAAAGGCUGGCGUUACUGGUAACGUAAGCCUUAAAUGCUAGUUAUGGUGUAUGAAAACGUAUGACAGUUGCUCUCCUGGGAGGUUACGACGUACAGAGUGGAUUCCAGUCGGUACGUUAGAUAUGCUCCGAGUGGAUCGUCGUCGACUGGAUGAUGGGGGCGUCCUUAGUUCAGUCGGAACUGUCUAAGGGUCUUGUCCUCUAUGAAGGGUAGUCCUUGGGUAGGACCUAUAGGGCAGACCUAUGACCCUACCUGGGGCUAUAACCCCAUCAUUAGUCCCCGAAUGGAUCGGGGUUGGAACGAUGAAGUGAUGUCCGAAGUUUGCAGCCGACUGGUAUUGAGGUGAUCUUAGCGUUGUCUGCCUCGAUCCAUUUUAUCUUUGUGGCUAGUGAUUCGAGUGAAUAUGCAAGCGAAACGAACCGUGAGGGACCGAUUGCUUCCGCGGAAUCUUUUGACGUGACCGGUCAUACUGACAGCGCCGGAUUUUCCGGGAUCCUCAAAUUUCGGUUGCCGCGCGCUCACGGGGGAUGACGACAUCGCCAUCGAGUAGAUUUCACCUCCUCGAUUACCGCACCGCGAUCUUCUCCACUAAUCUUGCAGCAGCCGGUUGGGAGGAUAAGAUCUUGGGCCCACCUGUAGGUGACCCAGUCGGAGGCCUAUUAAAGCCUUCCCGGCGGACCUUCCUGUUGUGCUGCUCGUCCUCUUCCCAUUGAUCUCGCCCCCCGCAACUCCCUGCACACCUCAAGCCACCUCCUUCCCGUCCUCCUCUGCGGAUCCGUCGCCCUCGCCAUGAUGAAGGGGCAGACCAGCAAGCUUGAGGCGAAGAAGAAGACGAAGGGGGCAGCUUCUACUUAGUGGCGGCAGCGGGCGUUGCCGGCGGGCUGGAUAUAAGGGGACUUCCUCCCCUCCACGGUGAGGGAGAACGACGUGCUGGAGCUGGUGGAGCACGGCAUGGUCGUCAACAAGUCUUGAAGGCUGCCGGAAGGCGAGAUGGAGCCGACGCCGAAGGAGGGGGAGCGCGUUCUACUGCUCAGCCACGUGGCCAGAGGUUUCUCCCUGCCUCCCCAUCCUUUCUUCCGAGGUAUCAUGAAUUACUUCAGGGCGCAGCUCCAUCACUUUCCGCCGAAUGCGAUAUCUCAUCUUUCCACAUUCAUCACCCUCUGUGAGUGCUUCAUAGGAUGUCCUCCCCACUGGGGGCUCUUCAGAUAUGUUUUCUCCGCUAGAUCUCAAACUGUUAAGAAGCUUAGACAGUCUGAUGAUAAGACACACAUCCUCCAGCUCUGCGGGGGUUUAGGAUUUCAGAAGACAACGAAAAGUAGUUAUCCCUCCCUUCAGCUAUCUGAGUCGGUUAGGAACUGGCAAUCGUCCUGGUUCUAUUGCCAGGACAUUGCCUGUCCGAAUGCUUCGAGUGGGUUACCACCCUUCAGUUUAGACCGCCCGGGCCCUCCCAGGAAGCUAGCGCUCUCUAAGGGAGAAAGAACUCAGAUCUAGCCUUUGGUCGACGCGCUGAUAUCCGUCGUCCGGAAGGGAGUCACCGGCAUGGACCUGUUGGAGACUUUUCUGGGUCGACGCAUCCAGCCGCUCCAGGCCCGAGACCACGCAAUGUGGCAUUACACGGGGCCUUCUGGUACCACUCGGUCCCAUCUUGAAGACGUGAGCGAGGAGACCGUGAGUGCGUGGGUCCGCAGCAUCACGGGCACAUGUGAUAACCCCGUGGGAGCUCGGCGGGUGAAGGCCUUCCGCGCCGAAAAUCCUCCUCCGAAUGAGGUGAGUACAUGUUGUCGAGUGCUUUUAACCUUCUCAGUUUUAUUGCUUUUCUUGUCUCGCUGACUGCCAUUGCUGACUGUGUUUUGUGCAGGAGUGGACGAACUGGCAUUCUGCAGUCUCAAACGGGAAUCCGGUCGAGGAAGAAGAAGGCAGCAUGGAGGGUAGCGCGGGUAGUGCCGAGUACAUCUCUGACAGUAGGAAGACGGAGGAGGAAACAGAAGAGGAGGAGGAGGAGAGUGAAGAGCAGAGCUCGUCACCCUCACUACCAGAACACCGAACCAAGCACCGUCAUGACCCCGCUGUUCUGCCGGCUCCUCCCAUGGCCCCGAGUGCUCGGAGUGUGAAGAGAACCAGGGGUGCUUCUGCCGAGCCCGUGGAUCAGCUGUCCAAGGUGGCUAAACCCAGCGGGUCUAAACCUCAGAAAGCUUUGCCCCGGAUGAGGAUCGCUGUUCCGGUCGCCUCAGCGUAAGUAUCUUUGCUCUCCCAUCUUCCUUUAGUAUCCGAUUGGACUCUUCUUUUUGGGAAUUCAUGUUUACCCGUCGAAUGGAUUUCACUCAACAGAGCUGCUACCUCCACCACCUCUCUGCCGCGUCAGAGUGACGAUCCCAUGGACACUGAUAACGCUACCACGUCCCAGCAAGGCACGUUGUCAUGACUCCGAGAGUUGUAUUACCGUUUCGCGAGUACUGUCUUUGAUCUUGAUCUUUUUCUGUAUUUUUAUUUUGUUCAGUUGGGGUUCCUUCGGAGGUGAUCCAUCUGGACGACGACGACCAAAGGAGGUCGGAACCAGCUUUGGCACCUGUCCCUGGGGUUAUCCAACCUGCUGCCAACCCCGCCAUGAGCGUGCCGCCGAUAGAGACGGUGGCCUUCACGGCGGAACCGACUGGAGCGGAGCUCGGGAUGCCCAGGGAGCUCGGGAUACCUAGGGCGCCUUCUGCCACGCCGGGUCCAUCGACUGUUCAAUAUGAUGCCCGACGCCUCCCGGAAGAUCAAGUAGGAGCCGCGAAGGACGCCAUGGUACAAGUGGAACUGAUGGUGGGCGAAGCCAAGGGAGCAUAUGACUCCAUUGCGUCCCUGUACAAGAAGAGCUUGGAGCUUCGGGAUGAUAUUCGAGUAAGUGCACUAGUAAGUGUUUACAUUCCUCUUGGUGCCCACUGGGGGUUUUAGCAAGAUACUCGGAUACAGUAGGUUGAUUUUCCAGUGGGUUCACUCUGAGUGGGACAUGUUCCGAGUGAAUUCCCGCCUUAAAAAGGUGGGUCCUUUCAUUGGUCCUUAACAAGGGGGUUUUAGCGAGAUACUCGGUACCAGUGGGGGCACGCCGAGUGCACCCACUGGGUGUAGUCCCCGAGAGUAGUGUUACUCAGGUCGAGUAAUAGUAAUCUCAUAGUGUUGUUGGUUUGCUAUGGAGCUCAAUGGGACCGACCUGUUCGAGCUUCAUACCAGUGGGGUCACUCUCAGUGAACCCACUGGGUGUAAUCCCCGAGACCGCUGUCGAUUGCUUGCAUCGGCAAGGGUCUGAAGAAUCUUGAGUUUUGAUUGUUUUGUCAUAUCUGUCGAGACUUUUUCCUUGUUGAAUUUGGCUGAUCCUCCCUUUGUGUCUCUUUGACAGAAGACUUGUGAAAUGGGAUCGGCCUAUAAUGCUCUGAAGGCUGAGAAGACUCAACUUGCUGCCGACUUGGAGGUAGCUUCGAAUGAUCUGGCUAGCAUGAAGAAGGCUCUCACUGAACGAGAAAAAUCUUUGGAGGAAUCUCGGGAGACUAACAAGGCACUGCUAGCCGAGGUAGAAAAAAUGAAGAAGGAGAGAUCUGAAUGGAUGGGCCAGCUGAAGUUAAUGAACACUCGGUGCAGAGCGCAGGAGAACUACGUCGGCGACUGGGCGAAGAAGAUGGUCGCACUGCUUGGUGGUAAGUUGCUUGCCGAGUGCUCUUUGACUUUGGAGUUCACUCCGCACUUAUUUUCUCCCUGUCUUUUCUUUGUAGAUUUCUGUAGGGACGUUGAAGCCGAAACUGCCGAAAUUGAAUGGUCGCUUGGGCAACCGAAUGUUCCACUCGGUGAUGAAGCUAACCGGGACAUGUUCCGAGUGAAUUCCCGCCUUAACAAGGUGGGUCCUUUCAUUGGUCGCCUGAGAGGAGUUGUCGGCCGAAUUGACAAAGAGCUUUGGCCUGAAGAUGACUCCCGGAAUGAGAUAGAGGGGUUGAUGACUCGACUGGAGGAUGUUCCGAGCAGACUGCAGGCAUGGAAGAAGUCUGCCGCUCGGUGUGGCGCGGACGUGGCGCUGUCUCUGGUCCAAGUGCAUUGUAAGGAAGCCCGCGAAGACAAGCUGAAGACGUUGCAGGUCACCAACACCAAGAAGCUUUGAUUUGAAGACUUUAUGGAGAACUUCCUCGAUGGGGCCACUCGGAUUGCAGACGGGAUCGACCUCGACACCUUCGUGGAGCCUGCCAGCCCCGGCGAUGCUUGAUUGACUUUAUGCUGAACGCGCAUUUACCUCGGUAUGUCGAGUGGAGUUUGUAUUAAACUUUGGCCACUGCUGUUGGCCGGUACAUUCCUGGCUCAGUGUGGAUAAACUUGAUUCACACCGAGCCGACUGAUCGUUGAACUCAAUUUGAAUUCGAACCAGAUCUUUUGCUCUUCCUUUGUUGAGUUUUUUUUGACACAAUUUUGGCUCGUGGUUUUUGUUUAGGCGACUCAGCUAAGCCUCCGAGUGUAACUUGUGUGCCCACUCGGAGGAAGGUUUUACUUAGGCGACUCUGGGUCGCAGCUAAGUCCCCGAGUGUGACUUUUGGUGCACACUCGGAGCAAGUUGUUACUUAGGCGACUCUGGGUCGCAGCUAUGUCUCCGAGUGUGACUUUUGGUGCACACUCGGAGCAAGUUUUUACUUAGGCGACUCUGCGUCGCAGCUAAGUCCCCGAGUGUGACUUUUGGUGCACACUCGGAGCGAGUUUUCACCUAGGCGACUCUGGGUCGCAGCUAAGUCCCCGAGUGUGACUUUUGGUGCACACUCGGAGCGAGUUUUUACUUAAGCGACUCUGGGUCGCAACUAAGUCCCCGAGUGUGACUUUUGGUGCACACUCGGAGCGAGUUUUUACUUAGACGACUCUGGGUCGCAGCUAAGUCUCCGAGUGUGACUUUUCGUGCACACUCGGAGCGAGNNNNNNNNNNNNNNNNNNNNNNNNNNNNNNNNNNNNNNNNNNNNNNNNNNNNNNNNNNNNNNNNNNNNNNNNNNNNNNNNNNNNNNNNNNNNNNNNNNNNNNNNNNNNNNNNNNNNNNNNNNNNNNNNNNNNNNNNNNNNNNNNNNNNNNNNNNNNNNNNNNNNNNNNNNNNNNNNNNNNNNNNNNNNNNNNNNNNNNNNNNNNNNNNNNNNNNNNNNNNNNNNNNNNNNNNNNNNNNNNNNNNNNNNNNNNNNNNNNNNNNNNNNNNNNNNNNNNNNNNNNNNNNNNNNNNNNNNNNNNNNNNNNNNNNNNNNNNNNNNNNNNNNNNNNNNNNNNNNNNNNNNNNNNAGUGCACACUCGGAGCGAUUUGUUUACUUAGGCAACUCUGGGUCGCAGCUAAGUCCCCGAGUGUGACUUCUAGUGCACACUCAGAACGAGUUGUUUACUUAAGCGACUCUGGGUCGCAGCUAAGUCCCCGAGUGUGACUUUUGGUGCACACUCGGAGUGAGUUUUUACUUAGGCGACUCUGGGUCGCAACUAAGUCCCCGAGUGUGACUUUUGGUGCACACUCGGAGAAAGUUUUUACUUAGGCGACUCUGGGUCGUAGCUAAGUCACCGAGUGUGACUUUUCAUGCACACUCGGAGCGAGUUGUUUACUUAGGCGACUCUGGGUUGCAGCUAAGUCCCCGAGUGUGACUUUUGGUGCACACUCGGAGUUAGUUUUUUUAGACCGGAGUCUGCAAAUGUGGAAGAAUUUUGAAUCAGCAAGAAAUUAAUCCGCUUUGUAUUACUUCGAUGACAUUUGUUCUUUACAUUGUCUGUGUCGGCGGUUCUGUGUAGAAGCGCUUCAGUAGAUCUCCAUUCCAUGCUCGCGGCUCGUCCAUCUCCCUGUCGAGGUUGUAGAGUCGAUAUGCUCCGUUGUUCAGCACCUUAGAAAUGAUGAACGGUCCUUCCCAGGCGGGAGCCAACUUGUGUGGUCUCUGUUGAUCCACUCGGAGCAGAAGGUCGCCUGCUUGGAACGUGCGGCUCCUGACGUGCCGCGCAUGAAAUCGCCGCAGAUCUUGUUGAUAAUUUGUUGAACGGAUUAAUGCCAUCUCGCGCUCCUCUUCUAAAAGGUCUACUCCGUCUUGCCUGGCUUGCUCUGCUUCGGCUUCGGAGAAGAGUUCGACUCGUGGAGAGUUGUGAAGCAAGUCACUCGGAAGGACCGCCUCUGCUCCAUAAACGAGAAAAAACGGGGAUCGCCCUGUCGAUCUAUUCGGAGUUAUUCGGAGGCCCCACAACACCGAAGGCAGCUCGGUGACCCAUGCGCCGGCGGCAUGUCCAACUUCCCGCAGGAGUCGAGGAUUCAACCCUUGAAGAAUGAGUCCAUUCGCCCGCUCCGCUUGUCCAUUUGUUUGGGGGUGCGGAACGGAUGCAAAAUCCACUCGGAUACCUUGGCCUGCGCAAAAACCUUUGAACCUGUCCGAGUCCAAGUUUGUGCCAUUGUCGGUGAUUAUGCUGUGUGGAACCCCGUAUCUGGCGAUGAUGUCCCUGAUAAAUUUGAUGACCGUAAGGGCAUCAAGCUUCUUGAUAGGCUUGGCUUCAAUCCACUUGGUAAAUUUGUCGACUGCUACCAGCAGAUGGGUGAAUCCUCCUUGGCCUGUUCUGAAUGGUCCGACUAUAUCUAACCCCACACGGCGAAUGGCCAAGAAAGGGGAAUUGUCUUCAGCGCAGACGUUGGCUUGUGGGACUUGUUUGAAUAGAACUGGCAACCCUCGCAAUGGUCGACUAUAUCUUUUGCCAUUUCAUUCGCCUGCAACCAGAAGAAACCAGCUCUGAACGCUUUGGCGACGAUUGCCCUUGAGGAGGCAUGAUGACCGCAGGUUCCCGAGUGAAUUUCUUCCAAAAUUAACUGUCUCUCUCAGGAGAGAUACAACGCUGAAGGACGCCUGAAACACUUUCUCUGUAUAACUGGUCAUCAAUGACGGUGAAGGACUUCGACCUGCGAACGAUCUGCCUAGCUUGGACCUCGUCUUCCGGUAACUCUUGCCUCAGGAUGUACGCAAUGAAUGGCACUGUCCAUUCGGGAAUAACAACUAGAACCUCCAUGACCAGGUCAACCACAGCGGGAACUUCAACUUCAGUCUGAUCUGUUGAGCUCUUCGGUUGCACAGGCUCCUCUCUAAAAGGAUCUUCUUUUACCGAGGGGAGGUGUAGGUGCUUGAGGCAGACAUCACUCGGGACAGGUCUCCGUGUGGAUCCAAGUUUUGCCUAUUCAUGUGCUGCUUGGUUUUUCAGUCGAGGAACAUUGUGAAGUUCCUGACCUUCGAACUUCUUCUCGAGCUUUCUUAUUGUGUUGCAGUAUGGAGUCAUGGUGGGGUUCCUUACACCCCAUUCCUUCAUUACUUGAUUAACCACUAGAUCUGAGUUGCCAUAGACCAUCAGGCGACGGACGCCGAGUGUGAUGGCCAUGCGCAACCCGUAAAGGAGAGCUUCGUACUCUGCUUCGUUGUUGUAAGAAUCAAAAUGGAUCUGCAACACAUACUUGAGUUUAUCACCUUUCGGGGAUAUGAGUACUACGCCUGCGCCGGAGCCAUUCAACAUCUUGGACCCAUCGAAGAACAUGGUCCAAUGAGCCGAGUAGAUGUGAGUCAGUUGCUGUUGUUCUACCCAUUCUGCUAUGAAGUCAGCAAGAGCUUGAGACUUUAUAGCUUUCUUGGCUUCGAACUUGAUGUUGCAGUAUAGCAUUUCCAUUGCCCACUUUGCCACUCGGCCUGAUGCGUCCCGAUUGUGGAGAAUUUCCGACAACGGAGCAUUAGAUAUGACCGAUAUCGAGUGGUCUUGGAAAUAAUGAGCCACCUUCUUUGCAGUCAUGUAGAUCCCAUAAAUAAGCUUCUGAUAAUGGNNNNNNNNNNNNNNNNNNNNNNNNNNNNNNNNNNNNNNNNNNNNNNNNNNNNNNNNNNNNNNNNNNNNNNNNNNNNNNNNNNNNNNNNNNNNNNNNNNNNAGAGGAGGAUUUUAAACGGAGUCCAAACGGAACGAAACUUCCAAAAAGAUUUUUUCCAAAACAGAAGAAGAUCGGGGAGCCUGAGAACCAGGGCAGGGGGCUACCAGGGACCCCACAAGCCCCCUAGCCGCGGCCAGGCGGGGGGCCCGCGCCUCCCAGGCUUGUUGGCUCCCUGGGCCACCUCUGCCCUAGGUCUUUCGCCUAUAUAUUCCCAAAAAUUCUAGAAAAAAUCAGGAGAUCAUCGAAAGUACUUUUCCGCCGCCGCAAGCUUAUGUCUGUGCAAGAUCCCAUUCGGGGCACGUUCUGGUGCCCUGCCAGAGGGGGGAUUCGGAUACGGAGGGCUUCUUCAUCAACACCAUGACCUCUCCNNNNNNNNNNNNNNNNNNNNNNNNNNNNNNNNNNNNNNNNNNNNNNNNNNNNNNNNNNNNNNNNNNNNNNNNNNNNNNNNNNNNNNNNNNNNNNNNNNNNNNNNNNNNNNNNNNNNNNNNNNNNNNNNNNNNNNNNNNNNNNNNNNNNNNNNNNNNNNNNNNNNNNNNNNNNNNNNNNNNNNNNNNNNNNNGGUGUGUUUGUCGAGAUCCGAUGAAUUGUGGAUUUAUGAUCAGAUUAUCUAUGAAUCUUAUUUGAGUUUCUUCUGAUCUCUUAUAUGCAGGAUUUCAUAUCCUUGUAAUUCUCUUCGAGUUGUGGGUUUUGUUUGGCCANNNNNNNNNNCUCUUUUGCGGUGUGUUUGUCGAGAUUCGAUGAAUUGUGGAUUAAUGAUCAGAUUAUCUAUGAAUCUUAUUUGAGUUUCUUCUGAUCUCUUANNNNNNNNNNNNNNNNNNNNNNNNNNNNNNNNNNNNNNNNNNNNNNNNNNNNNNNNNNNNNNNNNNNNNNNNNNNNNNNNNNNNNNNNNNNNNNNNNNNNGCUGUUGGCCGGUACAUUCCUGGCUCAGUGUGGAUAAACUUGAUUCACACCGAGCCGACUGAUCGUUGAACUCAAUUUGAAUUCGAACCAGAUCUUUUGCUCUUCCUUUGUUGAGUUUUUUUUGACACAAUUUUGGCUCGUGGUUUUUGUUUAGGCGACUCAGCUAAGCCUCCGAGUNNNNNNNNNNNNNNNNNNNNNNNNNNNNNNNNGGAUCUUUUGCUCUUCCUUCGCUGAGUUUUUUUACACGAUUUUGGCUCGUGGUUUUUGUUUAGGCGACUCAGCUAAGCCUCCGAGUGUAACUUGUGUGCCCACUCGGAGGAAGGUUUUACUUAGGCGACUCUGGGUCGCAGCUAAGUCCCCGAGUGUGACUUUUGGUGCACACUCGGAGUGAGUUUUCACCUAGGCGACUCUGGGUCGCAGCUAAGUCCCCGAGUGUGACUUUUGGUGCACACUCGGAGUAAGUUGUUACUUAGGCGACUCUGGGUCGCAGCUAUGUCUCCGAGUGUGACUUUUGGUGCACACUCGGAGCAAGUUUUUACUUAGGCGACUCUGCGUCGCAGCUAAGUCCCCGAGUGUGACUUUUGGUGCACACUCGGAGCGANNNNNNNNNNUUUGUUUACUUAGGCAACUCUGGGUCGCAGCUAAGUCCCCGAGUGUGACUUCUAGUGCACACUCAGAACGAGUUGUUUACUUAAGCGACUCUGGGUCGCAGCUAAGUCCCCGAGUGUGACUUUUGGUGCACACUCGGAGUGAGUUUUUACUUAGACGACUCUGGGUCGCAGCUAAGUCUCCGAGUGUGACUUUUCGUGCACACUCGGAGCGAGUUGUUUACUUAGGCGACUCUGGGUCGCAGCNNNNNNNNNNGGCGACUCUGGGUCGCAACUAAGUCCCCGAGUGUGACUUUUGGUGCACACUCGGAGAAAGUUUUUACUUAGGCGACUCUGGGUCGUAGCUAAGUCACCGAGUGUGACUUUUCAUGCACACUCGGAGCGAGUUGUUUACUUAGGCGACUCUGGGUUGCAGCUAAGUCCCCGAGUGUGACUUUUGGUGCACACUCGGAGUUAGUUUUUUAGACCGGAGUCUGCAAACGUGGAAGAAUUUUGAAUCGACAAGAAAUUAAUCCGCUUUGUAUUACUUCGAUGACAUUUGUUCUUUACAUUGUCUCUGUCGGCGGUUAUGUGUAGAAGCGCUUCAGUAGAUCUCCAUUCCAUGCUCGCGGCUCGUCCAUCUCCCUGUCGAGGUUGUAGAGUCGAUAUGCUCCGUUGUUCAGCACCUUAGAAAUGAUGAACGGUCCUUCCCAGGCGGGAGCCAACUUGUGUGGUCUCUGUUGAUCCACUCGAAGCACCAGGUCGCCUGCUUGGAACGUGCGGCUCCUGACGUGCCACGCAUGAAAUCGCCACAGAUCUUGUUGAUAAAUUGUUGAACGGAUUAAUGCCAUCUCGCGCUCCUCUUCUAAAAGGUCUACUCCGUCUUGCCUGGCUUGCUGUGCUUCGGCUUCGGAGAAGAGUCCGACUCGUGGAGAGUUGUCAAGCAAGUCACUCGAAAGGACCGCCUCUGCUCCAUAAACGAGAAAAAACGGGGAUCGCCCUGUNNNNNNNNNNGAGCAGAAGGUCGCCUGCUUGGAACGUGCGGCUCCUGACGUGCCGCGCAUGAAAUCGCCGCAGAUCUUGUUGAUAAUUUGUUGAACGGAUUAAUGCCAUCUCGCGCUCCUCUUCUAAAAGGUCUACUCCGUCUUGCCUGGCUUGCUCUGCUUCGGCUUCGGAGAAGAGUUCGACUCGUGGAGAGUUGUGAAGCAAGUCACUCGGAAGGACCGCCUCUGCUCCAUAAACGAGAAAAAACGGGGAUCGCCCUGUCGAUCUAUUCGGAGUUAUUCGGAGGCCCCACAACACCGAAGGCAGCUCGGUGACCCAUGCGCCGGCGGCAUGUCUAACUUCCCGCAGGAGUCGAGGCUUCAACCCUUGAAGAAUGAGUCCAUUCGCCUGCUCCUCUUGUCCAUUUGUUUGGGGGUGCGCAACGGAUGCAAAAUCCACUCGGAUACCUUGGCCUGUGCAAAAACCUUUGAACCUGUCCGAGUCAAAGUUUGUGCCAUUGUCGGUGAUUAUGUUGUGUGGAACCCCGUAUCUGGCGAUGAUGUCUCUGAUAAAUUUGAUGGCCGUAAGGGCAUCAAGCUUCUUGAUAGGCUUGGCUUCAAUCCACUUGAUAAAUUUGUCGACUGCUACCAGCAGAUGGGUGAAUCCUCCUUGGCCUGUUCUGAAUGGUCCGACUGUAUCUAACCCCCACACGGAGAAUGGCCAAGAAAGGGGAAUUGUCUUCAGCGCGGACGUUGGCUUGUGGGACUUGUUUGAAUAGAAUUGGCAACCCUCGCAACGGUCGACUAUAUCUUUUGCCAUUUCAUUCGCCUACAACCAGAAGAAACCGGCUCUGAACGCUUUGGCGACGAUUGCCCUUGAGGAGGCAUGAUGACCGCAGGUUCCCGAGUGAAUUUCUUCCAAAAUUAACUGUCCCUCCUCAGGAGAGAUACAACGCUGAAGGACGCCUGAAACACUUUCUCUGUAUAACUGGUCAUCAAUGACGGUGAAGGACUUCGACCUGCGAACGAUCUGCCUAGCUUGGACCUCGUCUUCUGGUAAAUCUUGCCUCAGGAUGUACGCAAUGAAUGGCACAGUCCAUUCGGGAAUAACAGCUAGAAUCUCCAUGACCAGGUCAACCACUGCGGGAACUUCGACUUCAGUCUGAUCUGUUGAGCUCUUAGGUUGCACACGCUCCUUUGUAAAAGGAUCUUCUUUUACCGAGGGGAGGUGUAGGUGCUCGAGGCAGACAUCACUCGGGACAGGUCUCCAUGUGGAUCCAAGUUUUGCCAAUUCAUCUGCUGCUUGGUUUUUCAGUCGAGGAACAUGGUGAAGUUCCAGACCUUCGAACUUCUUCUCGAGCUUUCUUAUUGCGUUGCAGUAUGCAGUCAUGGUGGGGUUCCUUACAUCCCAUUCCUUCAUUACUUGAUUAACCACUAGAUCUGAGUCGCCAUAGACCAUCAGGCGACGGACGCCGAGUUUGAUGGCCGUGCGCAACCCGUAAAGGAGAGAUUUGUACUCUGCUUCGUUGUUGGAAGAAUCAAAAUGGAUCUGCAACACAUACUUGAGCUUAUCACCUUUCGGGGAUAUGAGUACUACGCCGGCGCCGGAGCCAUUCAACAUCUUGGACCCAUCGAAGAACAUGGUCCAAUGAGCCGAGUAGAUGUGAGUCGGUUGCUGUUGUUCUACCCAUUUUGCUAUGAAGUCAGCAAGAGCUUGAGACUUUAUAGCUUUCUUGGCUUCGAACUUGAUGUUGCAGUAUAGCAUUUCCAUUGCCCACUUUGCCACUCGGCCUGAUGCGUCCCGAUUGUGGAGAAUUUCCGACAACGGAGCAUUAGAUAUGACCGAUAUCGAGUGGUCUUGGAAAUAAUGAGCCACCUUCUUUGCAGUCAUGUAGAUCCCAUAAAUAAGCUUCUGAUAAUGGGGAUACCUUUGCUUGGAAGGAGUCAGGACUUCGGAAACAUAAUAUACUGGCCGCUGAACCUUGUACGCUUUGCCUUCUUCUUCACGUUCGACUGUCAGAACGGUGUUGACGACUUGAUUUGUAGCCGCGAUGUACAGAAGAAGGGGUUCUUUACUUAGCGGGGCAGUAAGAACCGGAUGGGUGGAGAGCAGGGCUUUGAGGUCGUCGAAUGCGGUUUGGGCUUCGUCUAUCCACUCGAAGGUAUCCGACUUCUUCAUGAGUCGGUACAGAGGUAACGCCUUCUCACCGAGUCGAGCGAUAAACCUGCUCAAAGCCGCUAGGCAACCUGUGAGCUUUUGUAUGUCAUGUACUCUUACCGGCCGCUCCAUUCGAACAAUGGUCCCGAUCUUCUCGGGGUUAACGUCGAUCCCUCGUUCGGAAACAAAGAAACCGAGUAACUUCCCGCUGGGAACGCCGAAUGNNNNNNNNNNGCCGAGUCGAGCGAUAAACCUGCUCAAAGCCGCUAGGCAACCUGUGAGAUUUUGUACGUCAUGUACUCUUAUCGGCCGCUCCAUUCGAACAAUGGUCCCGAUAUUUUCGGGGUUGACGUCGAUCCCUUGUUCGGAAACAAAGAAACCGAGUAACUUCCCGCUGGGAACGCCGAAUGAACACUUGGCUGGGUUGAGCUUGAUAUCGUACCUACGUAGGUUGGCGAAUGUUUGUGCCAAGUCGGUCAGUAGGUCGGAACCUUUGCGUGACUUGACUACGAUAUCGUCCAUAUAUGCCUCCACAUUUCGACCAAUCUAGUCUAGGAGGCAUUUUUGGAUCAUUCGCAUAAAAGUUGCUCCUGCAUUCUUCAAACCGAAUGGCAUAGUGAUGUAACAGAAGCACCCGAAUGGGGUGAUGAAAGAUGUUUUUAAUUCAUCUGGACCAUACAGACGGAUCUGAUGAUAGCCCGAAUAGGCAUCAAGGAAGGAUAAGCGCUCGCAACCCGCAGUCGAAUCAACAAUUUGAUCAAUGCGGGGGAGCGGGAAGUGGUCUUUCGGACGUACCUUAUUAAGGUGCUUGAAAUCGAUGCACAUACGGAGAGACUUGUCCUUCUUGGGCACCAUGACCACAUUAGCAAGCCACUUGGAGUGGUGUACCUCGCGAAUGAAGUUGGCCGCCAGAAGUUUAGCUACCUCCUCUCCGNNNNNNNNNNAACCCGUAGUCGAAUCAACAAUUUGAUCAAUGCGGGGGAGCAGGAAGUGGUCUUUCGGACAGACCUUAUUAAGGUGCUUGAAAUCGAUGCACAUACAGAGAGACUUGUCCUUCUUGGGCACCAUGACCACAUUAGCGAGCCACUCGGAGUGGUGACCUCGCGAAUGAAGUUGGCCGCCAGAAGUUUAGCUACCUCCUCUCCGAUUGCUUUUCUCUUGUGCGCGGCGGACCGACACAGGCCUUCUCGGACCGGCCGAGCGGCAGGAUCCACAUGCAGUCGGUGCUCAGCCAACUCCCUGGGUACACCUGGCAUGUCAGCAUGCUUCCAUGCAAAAAUGUCCCACUUCUCACGGAGGAAUUGGAUGAGCUCGACUUCCUAUUUUGGAUCAAGGGUGGUGGAGAUGUUUGUUGGGGNNNNNNNNNNNNNNNNNNNNNNNNNNNNNNNNNNNNNNNNNNNNNNNNNNNNNNNNNNNNNNNNNNNNNNNNNNNNNNNNNNNNNNNNNNNNNNNNNNNNGAUACACACAUACAUAACAUUGAGACCAAAAGAGUUAGAGUUAACAAUGAUAGCGCCAUAUUUUUGUGGCACUACCGCUUAGGUCAUAUUGGCGUAAAGCGCAUGAAGAAACUCCAUGCCGAUGGACUUUUGGAGUCACUUGACUUUGAUUCACUUGANNNNNNNNNNUGCCUCAUGGGCAAGAUGACUAAAACUCCGUUCUCCGGAACAAUGGAGCGUGCAAGUGACUUGUUGGAAAUCAUACAUACCGAUGUGUGUGGUCCGAUGAGCGUAGAGGCACGCGGCGGAUAUCGUUAUUUUCUCACCUUCACUGACGAUUUGAGUAGAUAUGGUUAUGUCUACUUAAUGAAGAACAAGUCUAAAACAUUUGAAAAGUUCAAGCAAUUUCAGAGUGAAGUUGAAAAUCAUCGUAACAAGAAGAUCAAGUUCCUACGGUCUGAUCGUGGGGGUGAAUAUCUGAGUUUCGAGUUUGGUGCUCACUUAAGACAAUGUGGAAUUGUUUCACAGUUGACACCGCCUCGAACACCACAACGUAAUGGUGUGUCCGAACGUCGUAAUCGUACUUUGUUAGAAAUGGUGCGAUCUAUGAUGUCUCUUAUAGAUUUGUCGUUAUCGUUUUGGGGUUAUGCAUUAGAGACAGCUGCAUUCACUUUAAAUAGGGCCCCAUCAAAAUCCGUUGAGACGACACCAUACGAACUGUGGUAUGGCAAAAGACCAAAGUUGUCGUUUCUUAAAGUUUGGGCAUGUGAUGCUUAUGUCAAAAAGCUUCAGCCUGAAAAGCUCGAACCCAAAGCGGAAAGGUGUGUCUUCAUAGGUUACCCAAAGGAGACAGUUGGGUACACCUUCUAUCUCAAAUCCGAGGGCAAAGUGUUUGUUGCUAAAAAUGGAGCUUUUCUUGAGAAGGAGUUUCUCUCGAAAGAAUUGAGUGGGAGGAAGAUAGAACUGGAUGAGGUUCUCGAGCCUCUAGUCCCUCUAGAUGGUGGCGCAGGGCAAGGGGUAACCCCUAUCGUUGUGACGCCGGUUGAGGACGAAGUUGAUGAUGAUGAUCAUGAAACUUCAGAUCAAGUUCCUAUCGGACCUCGCACGUCGACAAGAUCACGUACUACUCCUGAGUGGUACGGUAAUCCUGUCUUAUCAAUCAUGUUGUUAGACAACAAUGAACCUGCGAAUUAUGAAGAAGCAAUGGUGGGCCCGGAUUCCAACAAAUGGCUGGAGGCCAUGAAGUCCAAGAUAGGAUCUAUGUACAAAAACAAAGUGUGGACUUUGGAAGUACUACCUGAAGGCCGCAAGGCUAUUCAGAACAAAUGGAUCUUUAAGAAGAAGACGGACGCAGACGGUAAUGUGCCAUUUACAAAGCUCGACUUGUGGCAAAGGGUUUUUCAAAAGUUCAAGGAAUUGACUACAAUGAGACAUUCUCACCGGUAGCGAUGCUUAAGUCCGUCCGAAUCAUGUUAGCAAUAGCUGCAUUUUUCGAUUAUGAAAUCUGGCAGAUGGAUGUCAAAACGGAGUUCCUUAAUGGUUUUCUUAAGGAAGAGUUGUAUAUGAUGCAACCCGAAGGUUUUGACGAUCCAAAGAAUGCUGACAAAGUAUGCAAGCUCCAGCGAUCCAUUUAUGGACUGGUGCAAGCAUCACGGAGUUGGAAUAAGCACUUUGAUGAGGUGAUCAAAGCAUUUGGGUUUAUACAAGUGGUUGGAGAAUCUUGUAUUUACAAGAAAGUGAGUGGGAGCUCUGUGGCGUUUCUAAUAUUAUAUGUGGAUGACAUAUUGUUGAUUGGAAACAACGUAGAGUUUUUGGAGAGCAUAAAGGAUUACUUUAAUAAAAGUUUCUCAAUGAAGGACCUAGGAGAAGCUGCUUACAUUCUAGGCAUUAAGAUCUAUAGGGAUAGAUCAAAAUGCCUGAUAGGACUUUCACAAAGCACAUACCUUGAUAAAGUUUUGAAGAGGUUCAAAAUGGAACAGUCCAAGAAGGGGUUCUUGCCAGUUUUACAAGGUACGAGAUUGAGUAAGACUCAGUUCCCAGCAACUGAUGAGGAUAGAGAGCAUAUGCGCUCCGUCCCCUGUGCUUCAGCCAUAGGUUCUAUCAUGUAUGCAAUGUUGUGCACUAGACCGGACGUUAGCCUGGCCAUAAGUAUGGCAGGUAGGUUCCAGAGUAAUCCAGGAGUGGAUCACUGGACAGCGGUCAAGAAUAUCCUGAAGUACCUGAAAAGGACUAAGGAGAUGUUNNNNNNNNNNNNNNNNNNNNNNNNNNNNNNNNNNNNNNNNNNNNNNNNNNNNNNNNNNNNNNNNNNNNNNNNNNNNNNNNNNNNNNNNNNNNNNNNNNNNAUAGAGGGGCCUGAACUCAUACAUCCUUGCCGUAGCUAAGGCUCUGCCCAUAUACUUUCGUACCCCAUACUUCUAUUGUCAGACUUAUACCCACGACAGUUGGCGCCCACCAUGGGGCAGGCGUCUAAGCGGCUUCCGGCGAGUUUGCAAUUUCAUGUUUUCGUCAUGUCAUCCAGCGGAGAUCUGUGCAUGGGUCAUGAGAUCCUCUUCUGUGCACUCUCCUUCAUCGCCGAUGAUUCGGCAUGGCUUCAGGAUGCGCCCGUCGACAUCGAGACGCUUCUGUGUCGCGGCGCUACGCACUUCCGUGCCAGUUCCUGCGGCAUUCUUCUUCUCCAGCCAUCAACCCGAGUGUCGAUCUUUGCCCCCGUCAUGCACCGCAACAAGCGAUCCGGUUGGUCGCGGCUCCAGCGUUGGGUGCGACACGCCCUAGCGUGACAAAACAUGUCCUCUCAAGUGGCGGUGCUCGAAUCGGUUGUGGUCCCGUCGUCAUCCCAGUGCUUGGAGUCAGUUCCGACUGAACUACCUUCCGAGUAUCAGGGUCACGGGCCUGCAGCCGAAGAACUCAUGGCCGAUUCCCACGGAAGUCCCCUCGGGACUGGUCGGAACGAGCGUGAGUUCGGAGAAUCAUCCGGCGCUCGUCGUCAGCACCUUCGUUCUUCCAGUCGACGCACUCGCCAGAGCAACGUCGAGGUGUUCCGCACACCCACCCUCAACUUGGUUGCAGCCGCCAGGAUAGAUGAUUCUCUCCAGCCGACUGAUUCGGAGUCUGGUAGAGGAAUCGAGCAGAUCCGUGCCUUGUUACAUACGGCGCAGCAGCAAAACUGGCGGUCUCCCAGUCGCACAACAAGAUCCACAACAGUUCCGUUCAAGCGAACACACAUCGGUCGGUUUUCAGUCCCGACUCUUACCAGCUACGCGGAGGGGGCAGCCGUUGCAGGGACCCGAGUCGGAAUCCGCUUUCCAUUUGGUCUCAUCCCGAAGAUCGUCGCCGUUCGCGUACUCCUCCACGGAGUGGGCCUUACGGACCCCGGCAUUACGAUGAUCAUCGUUUGGGCGGUGGCGCGCAUGAUCAAAGGCAUGAUGCAAGAGGGUAUAUCACUCAGAAGAAGGUCGAUAGAAGUCGAGCCCACCGUGAUGGUAACGAUAGAGACUGUCCGAGUGGAAGCAAGACCGUUGUUUCUGGUCCCGAGUGCUUCGGUCGGGCCAUCCGCUCGGCUGACAUCCCUCCCAACUUCUGAUUGGCGACGGGAAUCAGCAAAUUCACAGGAGAGUCCAAACUAGAAACUUGGUUAGACGACUACAGAGUGGCGGUCCAGAUCGGUGGCGGNNNNNNNNNNNNNNNNNNNNNNNNNNNNNNNNNNNNNNNNNNNNNNNNNNNNNNNNNNNNNNNNNNNNNNNNNNNNNNNNNNNNNNNNNNNNNNNNNNNNGCUUGAUCUAUGAUUCUUGCAAUGGGAGAAGUGCUUGGUUUUGGGUUCAUACCGUGCGGUGACCUCACCCAGUGACAGAAGGGGUAGUGAGGCAUGCAUCGUGUUGUUGCCAUCAAGGGUAAAAAGAUGGGUUUUCAUCAUUGCUUUGAGAUUAUCCCUCUACAUCAUGUCAUCUUGCUUAAGGUGUUACUCUGUUCGUCAUGAACUCAAUACACUAGAUGGAUGAUGGAUAGCGGUCGAUGUGUGGAGUAAUAGUAGUAGAUGCAGAAAGUAUCGGUCUACUUGUCUUGGAUGUGAUGCCUAUAUGUAUGAUGAUUGCCUUAGAUAUCGUCAUGACUUUGCGCAGUUCUAUCAAUUGCUCGACAGUAAUUUGUUCACGCACCGUAAUAUUUGCUAUUUUGAGAGAAUCCUCUAGUGAAUACUAUGGCCCCGGGGUCUACUCCACACCAUAUUUCCAGCCUUACUCUUUUACUUCGUUGCACUUUCCGCCUUCAGAUCUCACUNNNNNNNNNNACAAUCAAUCUUGAAGGGAUUGAGAACCCCUUUAUAGCGUUGGGUGCAAGCUCGUUUGUGUUUGCGAGGUACUCUAGACUUGACAAGAUUCUCCUACCGGAUUGAUACCUCGGUUCUCAAACUGAGGGAAAUACUUACUGCUCCUGUGCUGCAUCACCCUUUCCUCUUCAAGGGAAGAACAACGCAAGCAAGUCUCCGUCAACGUGUCAAUUUCUGGCGCUGUUGUUUGAGAAGUAGCAACAAGAAUUUCUGGCGCCUUUUCCGGGGAGAUUCAAGUCAAGAACUCAUCCAAGUAAGUGUCGCAAACUCAUCUCUUGCAUUUACUUUUAUGCCUCUCGUUUUCCUUGCCCCCACUUCUGAAAAACAAAAAUUUACAAAAAUAUUUGCCUUUUUUGUUCGCCCUUUUCUUUCGCUUGCUUUCUGCGUGCUUGAGUGGGAUAGUCUACCGAUCCUCAUGGCUAGACCUACCGCUUCGAACGAUACUCCCGAGAGCGAAGUUCUCAAUUCUAGACAAAAUGAGGAAGAAAACUUAAAGGACGCUUGGUAUAUGAUUUGCAAUGCUCAGAGUAUAUCUACUCGUAAGCAAUCUACUACCGUCCUACUUUGCAGCUUUUAUGUGGGUAUUUCUCCUUGGAAUAGGUAUGUUCUUGACACCAUCGUAGGCAGAAAUCUCUUGGGUAGCCAUACCGUUGAUUCUUACGGUGCUUUAAUAAAUUUAUUUGGCUCACCCCCACUCAUGGUUAAUGGAACUACCUUAACUCUGGAACAUGUGAUGCGUAGGCAGGAUAUCAUUGAAAAUAAAGUUGCUACGAUUGAACUCAUUGAGAAUUUGGAUAAAAAGAUCCACAAUCAAAUCACUAAGUAUGGAUCCAAGGUGGGAAUGACUUUGAAAAAUUUAAAGGAGAGGGAACCCACAGUUAACGAAAAACUAGGUCAUGAUUCCGCUAGGAUUGGCAAACUAGAGGAUGUUAUAACCAACUUGGGUUCCGCUUUUGCCGCUGUGCAGAACAGUCCAAAUUUUGCCCAAAAUAAGGCCACCAAGGCUGUUUUUAUUCCUAAAAAUAGCGGUGAACCAUAUAGUAAAAGAGAUGAAGACCUUAAUAUGAUGAGUGUUCACCCUACUUAUGGUUUGAGUACCAAAGACGAUGAUACGUGAUUCUAUCGUCUUAUGCCUAGCUAAGGGCGUUAAACAAUAGCGCUUGUUGGGAGGCAACCCAAUGAAUUUAUCCUUUCUUUUUUGCUUUCUGUUUUGUUGCGUCCACACCAUCAUAGUUCUGUUAUGAUUGUGUCUUUUGUGUUUGAGCCAAGUAAAACCUUUAUGACUAGUUUGGUGAUCGUUGUUUGAUCAUGCUGGAAAAAGACAGAAACUUUUCGCUCACGAAAUUAUUUUUCAUUUUUUAUCCAGAAAGAGCUUUUGAGUUGAUUCUUUUUGCUGCUGGUUGAUAUGCCAAUUUCCCAAACUAUCGUAAUUUGUCAGAAUAUUUGAGAUACCACAAGUAUACGAAGUAUACAGAUUCCUAGAGACUGGUCUGUUUUUGAUAGAUUCUGUUUUUGUUGUGUUGAUUGCUUAUUAUGAUGAAACUAUGGAUAGUAUCGGGGGUAUUAGCCAUGUAAAAGUGAGAAUACAGUAAUAUAACACCAAUAUAAAUAGAAAUAAAGUUUGCUACAGUACCUCAAGAGGUGGUAGUUUGUUUUCUUGUGCUAAUGAUAUCACGAGUUUCUGUUUAAGUUUUGUGUUGUGAAGUUUUCAAGUUUUGGGUGCUGUUCUCAUGGACAAAGAGAUAAGGAGUGAAAAGAGCUCAAGCUUGGGUAUGCCCAAGGCAUCCCAAGCCAAAUUCAAGGACACCAAAAAGCCUAAGCUUNNNNNNNNNNUUUUUGGUUCUGGUUUAUAUGCCUUUUGCCCAGGCAGUCGUAAUUUGUCAGAAUUGUUGAGGUACCAGAAGUAUACAAAGUAUACAGAUUGCUACAGACUGGUCUGUUUUUUACAGAUUCUGUUUUUGUGGAGUUGGUUGCUUGUUUUGAUGAAACUAUGGUUAAUAUCGGGGGGGUACUAGCCAUGGAAAAGUGAGAAUACAGUAGCCCAACACCAAUAUAGAUAGAAUUCAAGUUUGCUACAGUACCAAAAGAGGUGGUAGUUUGUUUUCUUGUGCUAAUGUUAUCACGAGUUUCUGUUUAAGUUUUGUGUUGUGAAGUUUUUAAGUUUUGGGUGAUCUUCUCAUGGACAAAGAGAUAAGGAGUGGAAAGAGCUCAAGCUUGGGAAUUCCCAAGGCAUCCCAAGCCAAAUUCAAGGACACCAAAAAGCCUAAGCUUGGAGAUGCCCCGGGAAGGCAUCCCCUCUUCCGUCUUCAAUCCAUCGGUAACAUUACUUGGAGCUAUAUUUUUAUUCACCACAUGAUAUGUGUUUUUCUUGGAGAGUCUUGUAUCGUAGUAGUCUUUUCUUUUUGUUGUGUCACAAUCAUCCUUGCUGCACACCUUUUGAUAGAGACAUGCACUCAUCGUGAUUUUGCUAGAAUGCUCAUCGUGCUUCACUUAUAUCUUUUGAGCUAGAUAAAUUUGCUCUUUGUGCUUCACUUAGAUAUUUUAGAGCACGGUGGUGCGUGACUUGGUAGUUGGCUUGUUCUAUGAAAGUAGUCCCAAAGGUGAUAGGUACCCAAAGAGGAUAGAAAAAUAAACCUCCAUCUUCAUGUGCAUUGAGUAGAAAGAUAAGUCUUGAUUCCUCUCAAUUAGUUUUGAGACAUGGAUUUGGUAAUAUUAAGAGUUAUGUUAGUAGGGUGUUGUGAAUCUAGAAAUACUUGUGUUGAAGAUAGUGAUUCUUGUAGCAUGCACGUAUGGUGAACCGCUAUGUUAGGAAGUCAGAGCAUAAUUGAUCUAUUGAUUGUCAUCCUUUGUGUUGAGGUCGGGAUCGCGCGAUGGUUAACACCUACCAACCCUUCCCCUAGGAUUAUGCGUUUAGCACUUUGUUUUAAUUACUAAUAAAAACUUCCGCAACAAGUAUGUGAGUUCUUCAUGACUAAUGUGAGUCCAUGAUAUAGAUGCACUUUCACCUUCCACCAUUGAUAGCCUCUCUAGUGCCGCGCAACUUUCGCCGGUACACAAACCCACCAUAUGCCUUCCUCAAAACAGCCACCAUACCUACCUACUAUGGCAUUUUCAUAGCCAUUCCAAGAUAUAUUGCCAUGCAACUCCCAUCGUUCCGUCUCAUGACUUGUGUCGUCACUCUCAUAUUGCCUUUGCAUGAUCGUAAGAUAGCUAGCGAGAUGUUUCAACGUCAUACGCCAAGCUAGAUCGUUGCACAUCCGUGUACACUGCCGGAGGCAUUUCCUAUAGAGUCAUCAUCGUUCUAUGCUUUGAGCUGUGAGUAAAUAAAAGUGUGAUGAUCAUCAUUACUGGAGCAUUGAACCAUGUGAGGAAUUAAAAAAAAGAGGCCAAAGAGCCCAAAUAAAAAAAAGGGGAGAGAAAAAAAGAGAGGCCCAAGUGCCCAAAAAAAAGAGAAAAAGAGAGAAGGGACAGUGCUACUAUCUUUUUCCACACUUGUGCUUCAUAAUAGCACCAUGUUCUUCAUGAUUGAGAGCCUCUUGUUUCGUCACCACCGUAUGCUAGUGGGAAUCUUUACUAUAUAACUUGGCUUGUAUAUGUUGGGGAACGUCGCAUGGGAAACAAAAAUUAUCCUACGCGCACGAAGACCUAUCAUGGUGAUGUCCAUCCACGAGAAGGGAUGUGUGAUCUACGUACCCUUGUAGACUGUACAGCAGAAGCGUUAGUGAACGCGGUUGAUGUAGUGGAACGUCCUCACGUCCCUCGAUCCGCCCCGCGAACCGUCCCGCGAUCAGUCCNNNNNNNNNNNNNNNNNNNNNNNNNNNNNNNNNNNNNNNNNNNNNNNNNNNNNNNNNNNNNNNNNNNNNNNNNNNNNNNNNNNNNNNNNNNNNNNNNNNNNNNNNNNNNNNNNNNNNNNNNNNNNNNNNNNNNNNNNCUACAACUCGACGAUGAUCUCGGCCUUCUUGAUCCAGCAAGAGAGACGGAGAGGUAGAAGAGUUCCCCGACAGCAUGACGGCGCUCCGGAGGUUGGUGAUGAUCUUGUCUCAGCAGGGCUCCGCCCGAGCUUCGCAGAAACGCGAUCUAGAGGAAAAGCCGUGGAGGUAUGUGGUCGGGAUGCCGUGGAAAAGUCGUCUCAAAUCAGCCCUAAAACCUCCCUAUAUAUAGGGGGAAGAGGGGGAGCCUUGCCUUGAGGUCCAAGGACCCCUAAGGGUUUCGGCCGAGCCAAGGGGGGAAAGUCUCCCCCCCAAACCGAGUCCAACUUGGUUUGGAAGGUGGUGUCCUUCUUCCCUUUCCCACCUCCUCCUUUUUUUUCUUUUCUCUUUGANNNNNNNNNNUCGGGGAGAACACAAUUUCGUCUUGAAAUUUUAGUGAGAGAUCACCUCAUAAUGCUACCGUCGUUCUAAGCAAAAUAAGGUGCAUAAAAGGAUUAACAUCACAUGCGAUUCAUAAGUGACAUGAUAUGGCCAUCAUCACAUGCUCCUUGAUCUCUAUCACAAAGCACCGACACGAUCUUCUUGUCACUGGCGCCACACCAUGAUCUCCAUCAACGUGUCGCCAUCGGGGUUGUCGUGCUACUCAUGCUAUUACUACUAAAGCUACAUCCUAGCAAAAUAGUAAACGCAUCUGCAAGCACAAACAUUAGUAUAAAGACAACCCUAUGGCUCCUGCCGGUUGCCGUACCAUCGACGUGCAAGUCGAUAUUAUCUAUUACAACAUGAUCAUCUCAUACAUCCAAUAUAUCACAUCACAUCGUUGGCCAAAUCACAUCACAAGCAUACCCUGCAAAAACAAGUUAGACGUCCUCUAAUUUUGUUGUUGCAUGUUUUUCGUGGAGACCAUGGGUAUCUAGUAGGAUCGCAUCUUACUUACGCAAACACCACAACGGAGAUAUAUGAGUUGCUAUUUAACCUCAUCCAAGGACCUCCUCGGUCAAAUCCGAUUCAACUAAAGUUGGAGAAACUGACACCCACCAGUCAUCUUUGAGCAACGGAGUUACUCGUAGCGAUGAAACCAGUCUCUCAUAAGCGUACGAGUAAUGUCGGUCCGAGCCGCUUCGAUCCAACAAUACCGCGGAAUCAAGAAAAGACUAAGGAGGGCAGCAAAACGCACAUCACCGCCCACAAAAACUUUUGUGUUUGACUCGAGAAGACAUCUACGCAUGAACCUAGCUCAUGAUGCCACUGUUGGGGAACAUCGCAUGGGAAACAAAAAUUUUCCUACGCGCACGAAGACCUAUCAUGGUGAUGUCCAUCUACGAGAAGGGAUGUGUGAUCUACGUACCCUUGUAGACCGUACAGCAGAAGCGUUAGUGAACGCGGUUGAUGUAGUGGAAUGUCCUCACGUCCCUCGAUCCGCCCCGCGAACCGUCCCGCGAUCAGUCCCACGAUCUAGUGCCGAACGGACGGCACCUCCGCGUUCAGCACACGUACAGCUCGACGAUGAUCUCGGCCUUCUUGAUCCAGCAAGAGAGACGGAGAAGUAGAAGAGUUAUCCGGCAGCGUGACGGCGCUCCGGAGGUUGGUGAUGAUCUUGUCUCAGCAGGGCUCCGCCCGAGCUGCGCAGAAACGCGAUCUAGAGGAAAAGCCGUGGAGGUAUGUGGUCGGGCUUCCGUGGAAAAGUCGUCUCAAAUCAGCCCUAAAACCUCCGUAUAUAUAGGGGGAAGAGGGGGAGCCUUGCCUUGGGGUUCAAGGACCCCUAAGGGUUUCGGCCGAGCCAAGGGGGGAAGGUCUCCCCCCCCAAACCGAGUCCAACUUGGUUUGGAAGGUGGAGUCCUUCUUCCCUUUCCCACCUCCUCCUUUUUUUUCUUUUCUCUUUGAUGUUCUUCCUAUGGCGCAUAGGGCCUUCUUGGGCUGUCCCACCAGCCCACUAAGGGCUGGUGUGCCACCCCCAAGGCCUACGGGCUUCCCCGGGGUGGGUUGCCCCCCCCGGUGAACUCCCGGAACCCAUUCGUCAUUCUCGGUACAUUCCCGGUAACUCCGAAAACCUUCCGGUAAUCAAAUGAGGUCAUCCUAUAUAUCAAUCUUCGUUUCUGGACCAUUCCGGAAACCCUCGUGAUGUCCGUGAUCUCAUCCGGGACUCCGAACAGCAUUCCGUAACCAACCAUAUAACUCAAAUACGCAUAAAACAAUGUCGAACCUUAAGUGUGCAGACCCUGCGGGUUCGAGAACUAUGUAGACAUGACCCGAGAGACUCCUCGGUCAAUAUCCAAUAGCGGGACCUGGAUGCCCAUAUUGGAUCCUACAUAUUCUACGAAGAUCUUAUCGUUUGAACCUCAGUGCCAAGGAUUCAUAUAAUCCCGUAUGUCNNNNNNNNNNNNNNNNNNNNNNNNNNNNNNNNNNNNNNNNNNNNNNNNNNNNNNNNNNNNNNNNNNNNNNNNNNNNNNNNNNNNNNNNNNNNNNNNNNNNGUUUGAGACUGCAGAAUGCCAGUUCGUCCACUCCUGCACAAAACACAGUCAGCAAUGGCAGUCAGCGAGACAAGAAAAGCAAUAAAACUGAGAAGGUUAAAAGCACUCGACAACAUGUACUCACCUCAUUCGGAGGAGGGUUUUCGGCGCGGAAGGCCUUCACCCGCCGAGCUCCCACGGGGUUAUCACAUGUGCCCGUGAUGCUGCGGACCCACGCACUCACGGUCUCCUCGGUCACGUCUUCAGGAUGGGACCGAGUGGUAUCCAAAGGCCCCGUGUAAUGCCACAUUGCGUGGUCUUGGGCCUCGAGCGGCUGGAUGCGUCGACCCAGAAAAGUCUCCAACAGGUCCAUGCCGGCGACUCCCUUCCGGACGACGGCUAGCAGCGCGUCGACCAAAGGCUGGAUCUGAGUUCUUUCUCCCUUAGAGAGCGCUAGCUUCGUGGGAGGGCCCGGACGGUCUAAACCGAAGGGUGGUAACCCACUCGAAGCAUUCGGGCAGGCAAUGUCCUGGCAAUAGAACCAGGAUGAUUGCCAGUUCCUAACCGACUCGGAUAGCUAAAGGGAGGGAUAACUACUUUUCGUUUUCUUCUGAAAUCCUAAACCCGAGCAGAACUGGAGGAUGUGUGUCUUAUCAUCAGACUGGCUAAGCUUCUUAACAGUUUGAGAUCUAGCGGGAAAACAUAUUUGAAGAGCCCCCAGUGGGGAGGACAUCCUAUGAAGCACUCACAGAGGGNNNNNNNNNNNNNNNNNNNNNNNNNNNNNNNNNNNNNNNNNNNNNNNNNNNNNNNNNNNNNNNNNNNNNNNNNNNNNNNNNNNNNNNNNNNNNNNNNNNNCGGAAAGAUGAGCUAUCGCAUUCGGCGUAAAGUGAUGGAGCUGCGCCCCGAAGUAAUUCAUGAUACCUCGGAAGAAAGGAUGGGGAGGCAGGGAGAAACCUCUGGCCACGUGGCUGAGCAGUAGAACGCGCUCCCCCUCCUUCGGCGUCGGCUCCAUCUCGCCUUCCGGCAGCCUUCAAGACUUGUUGACGACCAUGCCGUGCUCCACCAGCUCCAGCACGUCGUUCUCCCUCACCGUGGAGGGGAGGAAGUCCCCUUGGAUCCAGCGCGCCGGCAACGCCAGCUGCCGCCGCUGAGUGGAGGCCGCCCCCUUCUUCUUCUUCUUCGCCUCAAGCUUGCUGGUCUGCCCCUUCGUCAUGGCGAGGGCGACGGAUCCGCAGAGGAGGAGGGGAAGGAGGUGGCUUGAGGUGUGCACGGAGUUGCGGGGGGGGGGGGNNNNNNNNNNAUAUCCAGCCCGCCGGCAACGCCCGCUGCCGCCACUAAGUAGAAGCUGCCCCCUUCGUCUUCUUCUUCGCCUCAAGCUUGCUGGUCUGCCCCUUCAUCAUGGCGAGGGCGACGGAUCCGCAGAGGAGGACGGGAAGGAGGUGGCUUGAGGUGUGCAGGGAGUUGCGGGGGGCGAGAUCAAUGGGAAGAGGACGAGCAGCACAACAGGAAGGUCCGCCGGGAAGGCUUUAAUAGGCCUCCGACUGGGUCACCUACAGGUGGGCCCAAGAUCUUAUCCUCCCAACCGACUGCUGCAAGAUUAGUGGAGAAUAUCGCGGAGCGGUAAUCGAGGAGGCGAAAUCUACUCGAUGGCGAAGUCGUCAUCCCCGCUGAGCGCGCGGCAAUCGAAAUUUGAGGAUCCCGGAAAAUCCGGCGCUCUUAGUAUGACCGGUCACGUCGAAAGAUUAGGCAGAAGCAAUCGGUCCCUCACGGGUCGUUUCGCUUGCAUAUUCACUCGAAUCACUAGCCGCAAAGAUAAAAUGGAUCGAGGCAGACAACGCUAAGAUCACCUCAAUACNNNNNNNNNNNNNNNNNNNNNNNNNNNNNNNNNNNNNNNNNNNNNNNNNNNNNNNNNNNNNNNNNNNNNNNNNNNNNNNNNNNNNNNNNNNNNNNNNNNNAGAACAACCAUUAUUCUCUGACUUAAAAGAGUAACCGUCUCGCAAUAAACAAGAUCCAGAUAUAAUGUUCAUGCUCAACACAGGGACUAAAUAACAAUGAUUCAAGUUCAUAACUAAUCCUGAUGGUAACUGAAGUGAAACUGUGCCGACGNNNNNNNNNNNNNNNNNNNNNNNNNNNNNNNNNNNNNNNNNNNNNNNNNNNNNNNNNNNNNNNNNNNNNNNNNNNNNNNNNNNNNNNNNNNNNNNNNNNNNNNNNNNNNNNNNNNNNNNNNNNNCUACGUGCAUCGUCACUUCAUCUUUCGCCAGCCCUCGUCUAUUCCGCAGUUCCUGUUUCGAGUUGCAAAUAUGAGCAACAGAACCGGUAUCGAAUACCCAUGCACUACUACGAGAGCCGGUUAAGUACACAUCAAUAACAUGUAUAUCAAAUAUACCUGAUUUUUCUUUGGCCGCCUUCUUAUUAGCCACAUACUUGGGGCAAUUGCGCUUCCAGUGACCCAUACCCUUGCAAUAGUAACACUCUGUUUCAGGCUUAGGUCCAGCUUUGGGUUUCUUCGUCGGAUUGGCAACAGGCUUGCCGCUCUUCUUUGAAUUACCCUUCUUGCCUUUGCCGUUUCUCUUGAAACUAGUGGUCUUAUUCACCAUCAACACUUGAUGCUCUUUACGGAGUUCAGACUCUGCGACUUUCAGCAUCGCAAACAACUCGCCGGGAGACUUGUUCAUCCCUUGCAUGUUGUAGUUAAACACAAAACCUUUAUAGCUUGGCGGCAGUGAUUGAAGGAUUCUAUCAGUGAUAGCCUCUUGCGCGAGUUCAAUCCCCAGCUCAGCUAGACGGUUUGAGUACCCAGACAUGUUGAGCACAUGUUCACUAACAGACGAGUUCUCCCUCCAUCUUGCAAGCAUAGAAUUUAUCGGAGGUCUCAUACCUCUCGAUCCGGGUGUUCUUCUGAAAGAUAAACUUCGACUCCUGGAACAUCUCAAAUGCUCCAUGACGCUCAAAGCGACGUUGAAGUCCCGGUUCUAAGCCAUACAAGACUGCACAUUAAACUACUGAGUAGUCCUCCUUACGUGCUAACCAAGAGUUCUUAAAAUCCUAAUCAGCCGUAGCGGGUGGUUCAUCUCCUAGCGCAGCAUUAAGGACAUAAUCCUUCUUUCCAGCUUGUAAGAUUAGCUUAACAUUACGAGCCCAGUCUACAAAGUUGCUUCCAUCAUCUUUCAACUUAGCUUUCUCUAGGAACGUAUUAAAAUUCAGGGUGACUGUUGCGUGAGCCAUUGAUCUACAACACAAAUAUUGCAAAGUGGACUUAGACUAUGUCUAAGAUAAUUAGAGUUUAAUUAAUCAAAUUACUAAUAAACUCCCACUCAAAAAGUACAUCUCUCUAGUCAUUUGAGUGGUACAUGAUCCAAAUUCACUAACUCAAGUCCGAUCAUCACGUGAGUUGAGAAUAGUUUCAGUGGUAAGCAUCUCUAUGCUAAUCAUAUCAACUAUACGAUUCAUGCUCGAUCUUUCGGUCUCAUGUGUUCUGAGGCCAUGUAUGCACAUGCUAGGCUCAUUAAGUUUAACCCGAGUGUUCUGCGCGUGCAACUGUUUUGCACCCGUUGUAUGUGAACGUUGAGUCUAUCACACCCGAUCAUCACGUGGUGUCUCGAAACGACGAAAUGUCGCGACGGUGCACAGUUGUGGAGAACACAAUUUCAUCUUGAAAUUUUAGUGAGAGAUCACCUUAUAAUGCUACCGUCGUUCUUAGCAAAAUAGGGUGCAUAAAAGGAUUAACAUCACAUGUAAUUCAUAAGUGACAUGAUAUGGCCAUCAUCUUGUGCUUCUUGAUCUCCAUCACUUAAGCACCAGCAUGAUCUUCUUGUCACCGGCGCCACACCAUGAUCUCCAUCAUCAUGAUCUCCAUCAACGUGUCGCCAUCGAGGUUGUCAUGCUAUUUAUGCUAUUACUACUAAAGCUAUGACCUAGCAAUAUAGUAAACGCAUCUGCAAACACAAACGUUAGUUUAAAGACAACCCUAUGGCUCGUGCCGGUUGCCGUAGCAUCGACGUGCAAGUUGAUUUAACUAUUAGAACAUGAUCAUCUCAUACAUCCAAUAUAUCACAUCACGUCAUUAGCCAUAUCAUAUCACAAGCAUACCCUGCAAAAACAAGUUAGACGCCCUCUAAUUUGUUGUUGCAUGUUUUACGUGGCUGCUAUGGGUAUCUAGUAUGAUCGCAUCUUACUUAUCAAAAACCACAACGGAGAUGUGAAAAUUGCUAUUUAACCUCUCCAAGGACCGCCUCGGUCAAAAGCAAUUCAACUAAAGUUGAAGAAACAGGCACCCGCCAGUCAUCUUUAUGCAACGAGGUUGCAUGUCAAUUGAUGAAACCAGCCUCUCGUAAGCGUACGAGUUAUGUCAGUCCGGGCCGCUUCAAUCCAACAAUACCGCCGAAUCGAGAAAAGACUAAGGAGGGCAGCAAAUCGACCAUCACCAUCCACAAAACCUUUUGUGUUCUACUCGAGAUAACAUCUAUACAUGAACCUAGCUCUGAUACCACUGUUGGGGAACGUUGCAUGGGAAACAAAAAAUUUCCUACGCACACGAAUACCUAUCAUGGUGAUGUCCAUCUACGAGUGGAGAUUAGAUCUAUGUACCCUUGUAGACUACUCAGCGGGAAGCGUUAAGAAACGCGGUUGAUGUUGGAACAUCUUCACGUCCCUCGAACCGUCUCACAAACCGUCCCGCGAUCCGUCCCACAUCCGUUCCGAUCUAGCGCCGAACGAACGACACCUCCACGUUCAGCACACGUACAGCUCGACGAUGAUCUCGUCCUUCUUGAUCCAGCAAGCAAAAUCGAGAUCUAGAUGAGUUCUCCAGCAGCGUGACGGAGCUCCGGUGGUGGUGAUGAUCUACUCUUGUAGGGAUCCGCCCGAGCUUCGUAGAAAUCGAUCUAGAGGUAAAACUAUGUGGAAUAGGCUAGAGUUGCACGUGGCAAAGUUGUGUCUCAAAAAGCACUAAGCCACCACUAUAUAUAGGAGGAAGGGGAGGGGCUAGCCUUGAGGCACAAGGCUUCAAGGUGCGCCGGCCGCCAGGAGGAGGAGGACUCCUCCUCCAAUUCGGUUUGGGAAGGAGGAGUCCUCCUCUUCCUUCCCACCUCCCUCUUUCCUUUUUUCUUCUUCUUUUCUUUUGGUAUUUUCUUAUGUGGCACCAUAGCCCUCUUGGGCUGACUCCACCAGACCAAUAAGGACUUGGUGCACCACCCUAGGGCCUUGGUCUCACUCCCGGGUGGGUGGGCCCUUUCCGGUAAACACCCGGAACCCAUUCGUCACUCUCGGUACAUUACAGGAAUUGCCCAAUACUUUCCGGUGACCAAAUGAAACCAUCCUAUAUAUGAAUCUUCGUUUACGGGCCAUUCCGGUAACUCUCGUGACGUCCGUGAUCUCAUUCGGGACUCCUAACAACAUUCGGUAACCACACAUAUAACUCAACUAUACUAGAACAUCACCGAACCUUAAGUGUGCAGACCCUGCGGGUUCGAGAACUAUGUAGACAUGACCCGAGGCACUCCUCGGUCAAUAUCCAAUAGAGGGACUUGGAUGCCCAUAUUGGAUCCUACAUAUUCUCCGAAGAUCUUAUCGGUUGAACCUCAGUGUCAAGGAUUCAUAUAAUCCUGUAUGUCAUUCCCUUUGUCCUUCGGUAUGUUACUUGCCCGAGAUUUGANNNNNNNNNNNNNNNNNNNNNNNNNNNNNNNNNNNNNNNNNNNNNNNNNNNNNNNNNNNNNNNNNNNNNNNNNNNNNNNNNNNNNNNNNNNNNNNNNNNNGGAUACCUUUGCUUGGAAGGAGUCAGGACUUCGGAAACAUAAUAUACUGGCCGCUGAACCUUGUACGCUUUGCCUUCUUCUUCACGUUCGACUGUCAGAACGGUGUUGACGACUUGAUUUGUAGCCGCGAUGUACAGAAGAAGGGGUUCUUUACUUAGCGGGGCAGUAAGAACCGGAUGGGUGGAGAGCAGGGCUUUGAGGUCGUCGAAUGCGGUUUGGGCUUCGUCUGUCCACUCGAAGGUAUCCGACUUCUUCAUGAGUCGGUACAGAGGUAACGCCUUCUCACCGAGUCGAGCGAUAAACCUGCUCAAAGCCGCUAGGCAACCUGUGAGCUUUUGUAUGUCAUGUACUCUUACCGGCCGCUCCAUUCGAACAAUGGUCCCGAUCUUCUCGGGGUUAACGUCGAUCCCUCGUUCGGAAACAAAGAAACCGAGUAACUUCCCGCUGGGAACGCCGAAUGAACACUUGGCUGGGUUGAGCUUGAUAUCGUACCUACGUAGGUUGGCGAAUGUUUGUGCCAAGUCGGUCAGUAGGUCGGAACCUUUGCGUGACUUGACUACGAUAUCGUCCAUAUAUGCCUCCACAUUUCGACCAAUCUGGUCUAGGAGGCAUUUUUGGAUCAUUCGCAUAAAAGUUGCUCCUGCAUUCUUCAAACCGAAUGGCAUAGUGAUGUAACAGAAGCACCCGAAUGGGGUGAUGAAAGAUGUUUUUAAUUCAUCUGGACCAUACAGACGGAUCUGAUGAUAGCCCGAAUAGGCAUCAAGGAAGGAUAAGCGCUCGCAACCCGCAGUCGAAUCAACAAUUUGAUCAAUGCGGGGGAGCGGGAAGUGGUCUUUCGGACGUACCUUAUUAAGGUGCUUGAAAUCGAUGCACAUACGGAGAGACUUGUCCUUCUUGGGCACCAUGACCACAUUAGCAAGCCACUUGGAGUGGUGUACCUCGCGAAUGAAGUUGGCCGCCAGAAGUUUAGCUACCUCCUCUCCGAUUGCUUUUCUCUUGUGCGCGGCGGACCGACACAGGCCUUCUCGGACCGGCCGAGCGGCAGGAUCCACAUGCAGUCGGUGCUCAGCCAACUCCCUGGGUACACCUGGCAUGAUAGCAGGCUUCCAUGCAAAAAUGUCCCAGUUCUCACGGAGGAAUUGGAUGAGCUCGACUUCCUAUUUUGGAUCAAGGGUGGUGGAGAUGUUUGUUGGGGUGGCGGUGGCAUCCGUCGGGUGGACGCUUACUUUCUUCGUGUCUCUCGCCGGCUGGAAUGCGGACUCGGAAGCUCGCUUCUUUGAACGCAUCAGGUCAGCUGGGUCGACAAUCUUCUUGUACUCAUCCAACUCGAGUACAGCCAUCUGCUGGUCUGCAAUUCUCGACCCCUGCUGCAGACACUCCUCGGCCCGCUGCCGAUUGCCUGUGACAGUAAUCACGCCUUUGGGGCCAGGCAUCUUCAGCUUCAAAUAUACGUAACAUGGACAGGCCAUGAAACAUACGUAUGCCGGACGGCCCAGAAUGGCAUGGUAUGCACUCUGGAAGUUUACCACCUCGAAUGUUAACUUCUCUUUGUGGAAGUUCUUGUCAGAGCCGAAAACGAAAUCCAACGCAAUCUGGCCGAGUAAUUUGGCCUUUCUUCCUAGGACGACUCCAUGGAAUUGCAUACUGCUCUCGCUAACUCUGGACAUCGAAAUGCCCAUUCCCUUGAGAGUAUCAGUGUACAUGAUAUUCAAGCCGCCGUCGCCGUCCAUGAGGACUUUGCGCAGCCUAACUCCUUCCACCACCGGGUCGACAACCAGAGCUUGCCUCCCUGGGGUGGGUACGUGUGCUGGGUGGUCUGACUGAUCAAAGGUGAUUGCAGUCUAUGACCACUUGAGGAACGUGGAAGUGCAUGGGGUUGCCAUGUUUACCUCCCUGUUGACCAGCUUUAGUCGACUUUUUCUUUCUACAUCAACAAAAAUCAUUAACGUUGCAUGGACUUGAGGGAACGGAUCCUCCUUGUCCUCAUCAUCUUGCUCGGUGUCUUCCUCACUCGGCUGUCCUACACCGAAUCCUUGGAUCAGGAGGCGACACUCCCCAGUGGUAUGUUUCGGCAAUAUGACAUUGCCUUCUUCAUCCGUCUUCGUGUGGAUUGGACACGGUUGAUCUAGGAUGGAAUUUCUGAUUGUUUCUUCUUGGGGGUGUACUGUGCUUUCCCCUUGCCUUUGAACUUAGUGUUUGUAACGACUACCGCCUCUGCUAGCGGAGUGGAUUGAGCUUUCUGUUUCUGCUUCCGACUGCUGUUCCCAUCUCCAUCAGCGACUGACUUAUGCUUGCCGCUACGUAUGCGGUCCUCCUCUUCGCCAUUUGCAUAGCGCGCGGCUAUCUCCAUCAUUUUGCUCAUGGAGAUGUCGCUUGUCCGACCAAACUUCAGGCAUAGAUCUCUGUACCGAACGCCUGCCUUGAAGGUGCAAACUGCUUGGUGUUCUGUAACAUUCUCCAUCAUGUGGUAGAGGGUCGUCCACCGUUGGAUGAAAUCGCGCAAGGGCUCGUUUUAAUUCUGGACACAGUGCUGAAGCUCUAUGAGACCAGCACGGCGUUUGCACGUACCCUCAAAGGUCCUGAUGAAGACUCGGGACAGAUCUGCCCAACUGUAAAUGCUUGAUAGAGCUAACUAGUUUAGCCAAGCUCGAGCCGAACCGUCGAGCAUCAGUGGGAGAUGUUUCAUGGUGACAUGGUCAUCUCCGCCACCGAUCUGGACCGCCACUCUGUAGUCGUCUAACCAAGUUUCUGGUUUGGACUCUCCUGUGAAUUUGCUGAUUCCCGUCGCCAAUCGGAAGUUGGGAGGGAUGUCAGCCGAGCAGAUGGCCCGACUGAAGCACUUGGGACCAGAAAUAAUGGUCCUGCUUCCACUCAGACGGUCUCUAUCGUGACCAUCACGGUGGGCUCGACUUCUAUCGACCUUCUUCUGAGUGAUAUACCCUCUUGCAUCAGGCCUUUGCUCAUGCACACCACCGCCCGAACGAUGAUCAUCGUAAUGCCGGGGUCCGUAAGGCCCACUCCGCGGAGGAGUACGCUAACGGCGACGAUCUUCGGGAUGAGACCGAAUGGAAAGCGGAUUCCGACUCGGGUCCCUGGAACGGCUGCCCCCUUUGCGUCGCUAGUGAGAGUCGGGACUGAAAACCAAUCGAUGUGUGUUCGCUUGAACGGAAUUGUUGUGGAUCUUGUUGUGCGACUGGGAGACCGCCGAGUUUUGCUGCUGCGCCGUAUGUAACAAGGCACGAAUCUGCUCGAUUCCACUACCAGCCUCCAAAUCAGUCGGCUAGAGAGAAUCAGCUAUCCUGGCGGCUGCAGCCAAGUUGAGGAUGGGUGUGUGGAACACCUCGACGUUGCUCUGGCGAGUGCGUCCAUUGGAAGAACGAAGGUGCUGACGACGAGCGCCAUAUGAUUCUCCGAACUCAAGCUCGUUCCGACCAGUCCCGAGGGGACUUUCGUGGGAAUCGGCCAUGAGUACUUCGGCUGCAGGCCCGUGACCCUGAUACUCGGAAGGUAGUUCAGUCGGAACUGACUCCAAGCACUGGGAUGACGGCGGGACCACAACCGAUUCGAGCACCGCCACUUGAGAGGACAUGUUUUGUCACGCUAGGGCGUGUCGCACCCAACGCUGGAGCCGCGACCAACCGGAUCGCUUGUUGCGGUGCAUGACGGGGGCAAAGAUCGACACUCGGGUUGAUGGCUGGAGAAGAAGAAUGCCGCAGGAACUGGCACGGAAGUGCGUAGCGCCGCGACACAGAAGCGUCUCGAUGUCGACGGGCGCAUCCUGAAGCCAUGCCGAAUCAUCGGCGAUGAAGGAGAGUGCACAGAAGAGGAUCUCAUGACCCAUGCACAGAUCUCCGCUGGAUGACAUGACGAAAACAUGAAAUUGCAAACUCGCCGGAAGCCGCUUAGACGCCUGCCCCAUGGUGGGCGCCAACUGUCGUGGGUAUAAGUCUGACAAUAGAAGUAUGGGGUACGAAAGUAUAUGGGCAGAGCCUUAGCUACGGCAAGGAUGUAUGAGUUCAGGCCCCUCUAUGGUGGAGGUAAAAGCCCUACGUCUCAGUGCUCUUGGGAGCUUUGUGUCGAGUGUAUUGUGGGAUUACAGCAAGUGCCAACCCCUGUUCCAGUGGUGAAGGGCGGCUUAUAUAGAGUGCGCUGCCCUUCAUAAUGGCCCGGUGGAUAGGAGUGGAGUAGUGGCGAGUAAAGGCUGGCGUUACUGGUAACGUAAGCCUUAAAAAUGCUAGUUAUGGUGUAUGAAAACGCAUGACAGUUGCCCUCCUGGGAGGUUACGACGUACAGAGUGGAUUCCAGUCGGUACGUUAGAUAUGCUGCGAGUGGAUCGUCGCCGACUGAAUGAUGGGGGCGUCUUUAGUUUAGUCGGAACUGUCUAAGGGCCUUGUCCUCUAUGAAGGGUAGUCCUUGGGUAGGAUCUAUAGGGCAGACCUAUGACCCUACCCUGGGGCUAUAACCCCAUCAAUCAUGUUUUGCCCGUGGAAGAGGUUUAGUCAGCGGGUCUGCUACAUUCAGAUCCGUGUGCACUUUGCAAUUAUUCACGUCCUCUCCUUCGACGUAGUCGCGGAUGAGGUUGAAGCGUCGUUUGAUGUGUCUGGUCUUCUUGUGAAACCUCGGUUCCUUUGCUAGAGCAGUGGCACCAGUGUUGUCAUAGAACAGAGUUAUUGGAUUUAGUGCGCUCGACACAACUCCAAGAUCCGUCAUGAACUGCUUCAUCCAGACACCCUCCUUUCCUGCCUCCGAGGCAGCCAUGUACUCUGCUUCACAUGUAGAAUCUGCUACGACGCUUUGCUUGGAACUUCACGAGCUUACCGCACCCCCAUUAAGAAUAAAUACGUAUCCAUUUUGCGACUUAGAGUCAUCCGGAUCAGUGUCAAAGCUUGCGUCGAAGUAACCUUUUACGACGAGCUCUUCGUCACCUCCAUAAACGAGAAACAUUUCUUAGUCCUUUUCAGGUACUUCAGAAUAUUCUUGACCGCCGUCCAGUGAUCCACUCCUGGAUUACUCUGAAACCUGCCUGCCAUACUUAUGGCCAAGCUGAUGUCUAGUCUAGUGCAUAGCAUUGCAUACAUGAUAGAACCUAUGGCUGAAGCAUAAGGGAUGGAACUCAUUUGUUCUCUAUCUUCCGCAGUUGCUGGGCACCGAGUCUUACUCAAUUUUAUACCUUGUAACAUUGGCAAGAACCCUUUCUUGGACUGUUCCAUUUUGAACUUCUUCAAAACUUUAUCAAGGUAUGUGCUUUGUGAAAGUCCUAUCACGCGUCUUGAUCUAUCCCAAUAGAUCUUAAUGCCUAGAAUGUAAGCAGCUUCUCCUAGGUCCUUCAUAGAGAAUUUUUAUUCAAGUAAUCCUUUACGCUCUCCAAAAACUCCACGUUGUUUCCAAUCAGCAAUAUGUCAUCCACAUAUAAUGUUAGAAACGCCAUAGAGCUCCCACUCACUUUCUUGUAAAUACAAGAUUCUCCAACCACUUGUAUAAACCCAAAUGCUUUGAUCACCUCAUCAAAGUGCUUAUUCCAACUCCGUGAUGCUUGCACCAGUCCAUAAAUGGAUCGCUGGAGCUUGCAUACUUUGUCAGCAUUCUUUGGAUCGUCAAAACCUUCGGGUUGCAUCAUAUACAACUCUUCCUUAAGAAAACCAUUAAGGAACUCCGUUUUGACAUCCAUCUGCCAGAUUUCAUAAUCGAAAAAUGCAGCUAUUGCUAACAUGAUUCGGACGGACUUAAGCAUCGCUACCGGUGAGAAUGUCUCAUUGUAGUCAAUUCCUUGAACUUUUGAAAAACCCUUUGCCACAAGUCGAGCUUUGUAAAUGGCACAUUACCGUCUGCGUCCGUCUUCUUCUUAAAGAUCCAUUUGUUCUGAAUAGCCUUGCGGCCUUCAGGUAGUACUUCCAAAGUCCACACUUUGUUUUUGUACAUAGAUCCUAUCUUGGACUUCAUGGCCUCCAGCCAUUUGUUGGAAUCCGGGCCCACCAUUGCUUCUUCAUAAUUCGCAGGUUCAUUGUUGUCUAACAACAUGAUUGAUAAGACAGGAUUACCGUACCACUCAGGAGUAGUACGUGAUCUUGUCGACGUGCGAGGUCCGAUAGGAACUUGAUCUGAAGUUUCAUGAUCAUCAUCAUCAACUUCGUCCUCAACCGGCGUCACAACGAUAGGGGUUACCCCUUGCCCUGCGCCACCAUCUAGAGGGACUAGAGGCUCGAGAACCUCAUCCAGUUCUAUCUUCCUCCCACUCAAUUCUUUCGAGAGAAACUCCUUCUCAAGAAAAGCUCCAUUUUUAGCAACAAACACUUUGCCCUCGGAUUUGAGAUAGAAGGUGUACCCAACUGUCUCCUUUGGGUAACCUAUGAAGACACACCUUUCCGCUUUGGGUUCGAGCUUUUCAGGCUGAAGCUUUUUGACAUAAGCAUCACAUGCCCAAACUUUAAGAAACGACAACUUUGGUCUUUUGCCAUACCACAGUUCGUAUGGUGUCGUCUCAACGGAUUUUGAUGGGGCCCUAUUUAAAGUGAAUGCAGCUGUCUCUAAUGCAUAACCCCAAAACGAUAACGACAAAUCUAUAAGAGACAUCAUAGAUCGCACCAUUUCUAACAAAGUACGAUUACGACGUUCGGACACACCAUUACGUUGUGGUGUUCGAGGCGGUGUCAACUGUGAAACAAUUCCACAUUGUCUUAAGUGAGCACCAAACUCGAAACUCAGAUAUUCACCCCCACGAUCAGACCAUAGGAACUUGAUCUUCUUGUUACGAUGAUUUUCAACUUCACUCUGAAAUUGCUUGAACUUCUCAAACGUUUCAGACUUGUGCUUCAUCAAGUAGAUAUAUCCAUACCUACUCAAAUCGUCAGUGAAGGUGAGAAAAUAACAAUAUCAGCCGCGCGCCUCCACACUCAUCGGACAACACACAUCGGUAUGUAUGAUUUCCAUCAAGUCACUUGCACGCUCCAUUGUUUCGGAGAACGGAGUCUUAGUCAUCUUGCCCACGAGGCAUGGUUCGCACGUGUCAAGUGAUUCAAAGUCAAGUGACUCCAAAAGUCCAUCAGAAUGGAGUUUCUUCAUGCGCUUUACACCAAUAUGACCUAAGCGACAGUGCCACAAAAACAUGGCGCUAUCAUUGUUAACUCUAACUCUUUUGGUCUCAAUGUUAUGUAUUUGUGUAACACUGCUAUCAAGAUUCAAUAUGAACAAUCCUCUCACAUUGGGUGCAUGACCAUAAAAGAUACUACACAUAGAAAUAGAACAACCAUUAUUCUCUGACUUAAACAGGUAACCGUCUCGCAGUAAACAAGAUCCAGAUAUAAUGUUCAUGCUUAACGCAGGCACUAAAUAACAAUUAUUUAAGUUCAUAACUAUUCCUGAUGGUAAUGGAAGUGAAACUGUGCCGACGAUGAUUGCAUCAACCUUGGAACCAUUUCCCAUGCGCAUCAUCACUUCAUCCUUUGCCAGCCUUCGUUUAUUCCGCAGUUCUUGUUUCAAGUUGCAAAUAUGAGCAAUAGAACCGGUAUCAAAUACCCAGGCACUACUAUGAGAGUUGGUUAAGUACACAUCAAUAACAUGUAUAUCAAUAUACUUGAUUUUUCCAUGGCCGCCUUCUUAUCAGCCAAAUACUUGGGGGCAGUUGCGCUUCUAGUGACCCAGUCCCUUGCAAUAAUAACACUCUGUUUCAGGCUUAGGCCCAACCUUGGGUUGCUUCGUCGGAUUGGCAACAGGCUUGCCACUCUUAUUGGAGUUACCCUUCUUGCCUUUGCCGUUUCUCUUGAAACUAGUGGUCUUAUUGAACAUCAACACUUGAUGCUCUUUUCGAAGUUCUGACUCUGCGACUUUCAGCAUCGCGAAUAACUCGUCGGGUGACUUGUUCAUCCCUUGCAUUUUAUAGUUCAACACAAAGCUCUUGUAGCUUGGUGGCAGUGAUUGAAGAAUUCUGUCAGUGAUAGAUUCUUGCGGGAGUUCAAUGCCUAACUCAGCUAGACGGUUUGAGUACCCAGACAUUUUGAGCACAUGUUCACUGACAGACGAAUUCUCCUCCAUCUUGCAAGCAUAGAAUUUAUCAGAGGUCUCAUACCUCUCGAUCCGGGCGUUCUUCUGAAAGAUAAACUUCAACUCCUGGAACAUCUCAUAUGCUCCAUGACGCUCAAAGCGACGUUCAAGUCCCGGCUCUAAGCCAUACAAGACUGCACAUUUAACUACUGAGUAGUCCUCCUUACGUGUUAACCAGGCGUUCUUAACAUCUUGGUCAGCCGUAGCGGGUGGUUCAUCUCCUAGCGCAGCAUUAAGGACAUAAUCCUUCUUCCCAGCUUGCAGGAGCAACUUAAGAUUACGGGCCGAGUCUACAAAGUUGCUUCCAUCAUCUUUCAACUUAGCUUUCUCUAGGAACGUAUUAAAAUUCAGGGUGACUGUUGCGUGAGCCAUUGAUCUACAACACAAAUAUUGCAAAGUGGACUUAGACUAUGUCUAAGAUAAUUAGAGUUUAAUUAAUCAAAUUACUAAUAAACUCCCACUCAAAAAGUACAUCUCUCUAGUCAUUUGAGUGGUACAUGAUCCAAAUUCACUAACUCAAGUCCGAUCAUCACGUGAGUUGAGAAUAGUUUCAGUGGUAAGCAUCUCUAUGCUAAUCAUAUCAACUAUACGAUUCAUGCUCGAUCUUUCGGUCUCAUGUGUUCUGAGGCCAUGUAUGCACAUGCUAGGCUCAUUAAGUUUAACCCGAGUGUUCUGCGCGUGCAACUGUUUUGCACCCGUUGUAUGUGAACGUUGAGUCUAUCACACCCGAUCAUCACGUGGUGUCUCGAAACGACGAAAUGUCGCGACGGUGCACAGUUGUGGAGAACACAAUUUCAUCUUGAAAUUUUAGUGAGAGAUCACCUUAUAAUGCUACCGUCGUUCUUAGCAAAAUAGGGUGCAUAAAAGGAUUAACAUCACAUGUAAUUCAUAAGUGACAUGAUAUGGCCAUCAUCUUGUGCUUCUUGAUCUCCAUCACUUAAGCACCAGCAUGAUCUUCUUGUCACCGGCGCCACACCAUGAUCUCCAUCAUCAUGAUCUCCAUCAACGUGUCGCCAUCGAGGUUGUCAUGCUAUUUAUGCUAUUACUACUAAAGCUAUGACCUAGCAAUAUAGUAAACGCAUCUGCAAACACAAACGUUAGUUUAAAGACAACCCUAUGGCUCGUGCCGGUUGCCGUAGCAUCGACGUGCAAGUUGAUUUAACUAUUAGAACAUGAUCAUCUCAUACAUCCAAUAUAUCACAUCACGUCAUUAGCCAUAUCAUAUCACAAGCAUACCCUGCAAAAACAAGUUAGACGCCCUCUAAUUUGUUGUUGCAUGUUUUACGUGGCUGCUAUGGGUAUCUAGUAUGAUCGCAUCUUACUUAUCAAAAACCACAACGGAGAUGUGAAAAUUGCUAUUUAACCUCUCCAAGGACCGCCUCGGUCAAAAGCAAUUCAACUAAAGUUGAAGAAACAGGCACCCGCCAGUCAUCUUUAUGCAACGAGGUUGCAUGUCAAUUGAUGAAACCAGCCUCUCGUAAGCGUACGAGUUAUGUCAGUCCGGGCCGCUUCAAUCCAACAAUACCGCCGAAUCGAGAAAAGACUAAGGAGGGCAGCAAAUCGACCAUCACCAUCCACAAAACCUUUUGUGUUCUACUCGAGAUAACAUCUAUACAUGAACCUAGCUCUGAUACCACUGUUGGGGAACGUUGCAUGGGAAACAAAAAAUUUCCUACGCACACGAAUACCUAUCAUGGUGAUGUCCAUCUACGAGUGGAGAUUAGAUCUAUGUACCCUUGUAGACUACUCAGCGGGAAGCGUUAAGAAACGCGGUUGAUGUUGGAACAUCUUCACGUCCCUCGAACCGUCUCACAAACCGUCCCGCGAUCCGUCCCACAUCCGUUCCGAUCUAGCGCCGAACGAACGACACCUCCACGUUCAGCACACGUACAGCUCGACGAUGAUCUCGUCCUUCUUGAUCCAGCAAGCAAAAUCGAGAUCUAGAUGAGUUCUCCAGCAGCGUGACGGAGCUCCGGUGGUGGUGAUGAUCUACUCUUGUAGGGAUCCGCCCGAGCUUCGUAGAAAUCGAUCUAGAGGUAAAACUAUGUGGAAUAGGCUAGAGUUGCACGUGGCAAAGUUGUGUCUCAAAAAGCACUAAGCCACCACUAUAUAUAGGAGGAAGGGGAGGGGCUAGCCUUGAGGCACAAGGCUUCAAGGUGCGCCGGCCGCCAGGAGGAGGAGGACUCCUCCUCCAAUUCGGUUUGGGAAGGAGGAGUCCUCCUCUUCCUUCCCACCUCCCUCUUUCCUUUUUUCUUCUUCUUUUCUUUUGGUAUUUUCUUAUGUGGCACCAUAGCCCUCUUGGGCUGACUCCACCAGACCAAUAAGGACUUGGUGCACCACCCUAGGGCCUUGGUCUCACUCCCGGGUGGGUGGGCCCUUUCCGGUAAACACCCGGAACCCAUUCGUCACUCUCGGUACAUUACAGGAAUUGCCCAAUACUUUCCGGUGACCAAAUGAAACCAUCCUAUAUAUGAAUCUUCGUUUACGGGCCAUUCCGGUAACUCUCGUGACGUCCGUGAUCUCAUUCGGGACUCCUAACAACAUUCGGUAACCACACAUAUAACUCAACUAUACUAAAACAUCACCGAACCUUAAGUGUGCACACCCUGCGGGUUCGAGAACUAUGUAGACAUGACCCGAGGCACUCCUCGGUCAAUAUCCAAUAGAGGGACUUGGAUGCCCAUAUUGGAUCCUACAUAUUCUCCGAAGAUCUUAUCGGUUGAACCUCAGUGUCAAGGAUUCAUAUAAUCCUGUAUGUCAUUCCCUUUGUCCUUCGGUAUGUUACUUGCCCGAGAUUUGAUCGUCGGUAUCCGCAUACCUAUUUCAAUCUCGUUACCGGCAAGUCUAUUUACUCAUUCCGUAAUACAAGAUCCCGUGACUUACACUUAGUCACAUUGCUUGCAAGGCUUGUGUGUGAUGUUAUAUUACCGAGUGGGCCCCGAGAUACCUCUCCGUCACACGGAGUGACAAAUCCCAGUCUUGAUCCAUACUAACUCAAUGGACACCUUCGGAGAUACCUGUAGAGCACCUUUAUAGUCACCCAGUUACGUUGCGACGUUUGAUGCACACAAGGUAUUCCUUCGAUGCCAGUGAGUUAUAUAAUCUCAUGUUCAUAGGAAUAAAUACUUGACACGUAGAAAACAAUAGCAAUAAAAUGACACGAUCAAUAUGCUAUGUUGAUAGUUUGGGUCUAGUCCAUCACAUGAUUCUCCUGAUGAUGUGAUCCAGUUAUCAAGCAACAACACUUGCACAUAGUCAGAAAACCUUGACUAUCCUUGAUCAACUGGCUAGCUAACUAGAGGCUUGCUAGGGACAUCGUUUUGUCUAUGUACCCACACAUGUAUCUAUGAUUUCAUUCAAUACAAUUAUAGCAUGGAUAAUAAACGAUUAUCUUUGUAAUAGGAAAUAUAAUAAUAACUAUUUAUCAUUGCCUCUACGGCAUAUUUCCAACAGCGGCAACUUUGGCUGCGGGAGGAACCGGGGCGGUGGAGUGUUCGCGGGUGGCGGCGCUGUUGGCCGACAGCGGGCGCGCAACGGGGUGACCGGAGGGCGUAGUGCGGGGCGCCGGCGGGUCUCGGCCGGAGGGCGGCAACGCGACGCAGGUUUGACCAGAGCGGGGCUGGCGAAGGGGCUCUGGAUCGGGGCUCCUCCUCGAUGUGGAGCUCAGGCCCGAGGGGCGCGGAUGCGGCGGCGGCUUCGGGCCCGGGCGGGCUAGAGCGGUCCUGCGGCGCUGGUGGGAGGAGGAGAGGCUGCGCUAGGGUUUGAGGGGGCGCACGGAUCUUGAGGCAGGCCUGGGGCUGCCCGAUGUGGACGUGGGAAUGCCCAUUUAUAGAAGUUUUGUCUAGGGUUUGGGGUUUUCAUGGCCGAUUUUGACCGCGCGAUCGUGAUCAGACGUCCCCCGCCGCAGGGUGGGCUGGUUGGGCCGUGUAGAGUGGGUGUUGGGCUAAGACGAGAGGGAAAUGGUGCGACCCGGCGAUAGUGAUUUAAAACACCGAAAACGUCCGACGAUAACCCGCCGACGGUGCCGCUAUGGUCUACCGUUCGGCUAUCAAAGGGACUCCUAUUGCGGCGAAAAUUGGCACGCGACCUACCUACAUAAAAAUAAGACCGCACACCAAGUUUCAACCCAAUCCAAGAAUAUUUUAUACACACUUUUAAAAACAAAUAUUAGCGAUGCCGCGGGCGCAUGCGUGUGUGGUUGGUCUCAAAAUGGGCAACGACGAACACGGAGAGAACCGACAACUAAUAAUGGAUGCAGGUUUUGAAAACUGGCGGCAAUGGAGUGCCGAUGCAAUGCAGAUGAUGCGCAUGAUGCGAUGAUGAAUGCGACAGACAAACGAACCACACGACGGGAACGAAAUAAAAGGGGAACUUCUGGAGCGUCGGUCUCGGGAUGUCACACAUAUCACCGCAUGAAAUAUCCUCAAUUAUUUUAACAUAACAAUAACGUUUCCUUCAUCACAACAAACCAUACACAAAGGUAAUAUUCCAUGUUCAGAAUGCUUGCCUUGUUUGUGUAGAAAGGUAGGGUGCACUUCAAAACUUUUGAAAGUUUUCAAUCUUCCUCUUCAAAUUCCUAUUUUGAAAAUACUCAAAUCAACAUACCAUUCAAACAAAAGUAAAAAGUUAUUCGGAAAUUUUUCAAUUAAAUACUAAAAUAAACUAGAGAAAAAUUGAAAGAGGUGAGUAAAAGAAUCAACUCAUUUGGAGUUUUAUUUUAAAAGAUAUGACCAGUAAAAGAUUGGUCAAACUUCUGUUUUUAAAAUAAAUCAGAAAAGAAAGCGAUUCGGCUCACAUUAUGCUUUUACAGAAGGGAAUACAUACUUUGCACAAAUACACCUUCACUUAACGUGGCUCAAGCUCGGCUCUGUCGCUGACGAGUGGGGCCCUUCAUACAGGUUUGACUUUGGUCAAACCGGUCAUCUACCUCCUCCAAACAAGGGGAGGAGAGGCCUCCGGUGGCUCUUGACGGUGAUUGGGGGCACUACACCAAAAUCCGAGAGUAUCAACAUGCUCGGGGUCCCAAGGCAAUCCCAAAGGUGCGGGAUUUGGUCGGCGGAGAGCCUGGGAGCUCCAGCGGCUUCGAGGCGUGCGGACGGCGGCGCGGGUCCGCAAGGGAACUUUGCCCACGGCUCAUCUUGAGUGAAAUCGAGAGGGGGGAUGGGCUCGCGGUGCCAGUGUUAUUCCACCAAGGGGGAGAGCGAUGCAGGAUAAACUUCAUUGGCCUCGAAUUUAACUACAGGGGCGGCGGCCGAACCUCGGCCGGAGGUGAGGAAGACGACCUCCCCCGGUCGAUUGGUUGCAAUGGGAGCUUGAGAGGGGCCGGAGAGGUUCCUCUGAGGGUCUGGGAAAACCCGGGGGUCCCUUAUAUACGCAAUCAAGGUCGUUUCCGAGCGGCAACGGAUAACUCUGACGAACUAUUGCUAACAAGAGAUGUGGCGGCGACUAACGGGGACAGGCGCUAGCAGACGAGCUAGCGGAUGAGCUCGAGCUAUU